GGUUCUAAUCCAAUUAGUAGUAAGUAUUUUCUUUUUUAUUUAAUAGUCUCUGACUAUCAUUAAAUAAAGGGUAGAGCAAUUCUUUUUUCUAGAGAUUCUAGAGAAAGUGAGACAAAGUGAAGCGAAAGAGUUUUCUUUGUAUAAGAAUUAGGUCUAUAUCAUAUCUAAAUAGAAGGGAAAUCAAAAAGAAGGGAAGUGGUGGGUUAGCCUCUAGUGGCUAAAGAUAUAAACUUAGAUUAGUAAGUUGUUUUGAAAAUCCCUAGAAUCAAGGAGAGUUUUGGAAAUCCCUAGAAUCAAGGAGAGCCUUCUCCAUUUCGGUUGGGCCAUUGGCUAUAUAUGCUUGUAAUCGCUUGACAAUCAAUUAAGGAAGAAUUAUAUCCUUAAUCUCUCUCUGUGUGUGUUAAACCUGCGGUUGAGGGGGGGAUAACCUCACUGGAGAGGACGACAGAUGGCUACGAGCUGCGUAGCCACGGUCCGGCUAGUCGGGGGCUCGACGCCCUUGACAUCAAAUAGUUUGUGGAUAAAACUAAAAACGAUCCAAAAAAUAAAAUAUGGAAGAGCACAUCUAUGAAAAAAAGGACAGAUGAAUGGAAAUUUUCAGACACAUGUAAAAACAGACAAGUGAGGAGCUUUGGGUUAUCUUACAAAGCACUUGGUGAAUGGACCCCCAGUAUGAAGGGUCUCCUUAAGGAUGGAGUUUGUAUUAACAAUGCUCUUCAAAAUAACUGUAAUGCUGUCUUCGUUGCUGCAAUAAGCAAGGCAACUCAUGAUCACAAGGUUAUUCUGAAUCACCAAACUAAAAUGAGGAUAAACAUAGUAGCUCUUAAGAAAUAGAAGGCAAACCUUGUUCUACUAUUACCAACAACAACAGAAGGCCGUAUAGGAACAGGUGGCACUGCAAUCUCUGUCACAAUAAGUUUCUCUGGCCUAUCACCAAGGUUUAGUAAUUCACAAUCCUGCAGAAAAAUGAAAAAAGAGUAAACUUUUGUCAACAAAACUGCGACAAGUUCAAAUUGCAAAAUAGCAUCUAAUGUGAGGCAACCAAUGUGGCUUGGGGCAACUUGUUAGAUAGGUUUAAUGUUUUCUCCAGCUCACUUGCCUGUCCUAGUGUUAUUGAGCACUAAAACAGGGAGUAGCAGAACACAUCAAAUGGUCCUUCUUCACUUAAGACCCUUGAAGGAUGAAAAUUGGCACCAACCUCAUCAAUCAUUCUUCUGAAUAGAGAUAGAACAGUUGCAGGGUCUAACACUAGAACUGAACUAGCAGACACCUUUUCUUUCUUAUUUUGUAGUGCAUUCUUCAAUUCUUCUGUAUGUCCAUCCAAAACUUUGCUACAAUCAUGAACUACUAUCAAGCCCGCUCUGCCUUUUUUAACUACACCUGUUUUUACAACAAAAACAGGAAAGAGUUGACUGUUGAGCGAUUUCUUGCAAAUGUUAGCUUACAAACAACAGUCAGGUAUCAGUAGUGACAUUACAAGGUAAAAUUAUUAUGGACAAUAUAGGAUGGCUUACCAUUUCUGUAAUCACAACGGGGGCAGCAGGAUAGUUUGCAUUUGUCCCUCACUUUUUUCAUUGUAGCACUUUUCUGUAGUGCAUCUGCCCUGGGAUUUCUCAUCUUCUUUAGAAACUCCCUGCGGUCUUUCUCGAUAAGAAGAACUCUACUACAGCUCUGGAAAGGCAUGAGGGAACGAGAAUAAUUAACAAGUCAGAGUUCAAGUGUUCAGCCCACCCAUGAUGUAAACUUCUUCAUGGCAGUACCUUGCAGAUGCACUUCAACACGUCCAGAAUACAGUUAAAGAAGCCCACGUUAAAAACUGGAAGCGCGAGCUUCAAGUAGCCGAAAUGACCUGGACAGUCACUAAAUUCACCAUGGCAGGUAUUGCAUUUGCCUCUCUUAGUCGGGAUUCCCUGAAAUUUGACACGGGAAAAAUAAGUUGCAACAACUUGAACGAUGCCACAAACGCACGUUUAUGUUAGAACUCCCAUCUUCAAAUCAUCAAUGAAAAUACACAUGACGAAACAGCAAUACCGAGCGGGGCAUUACCAUUCGCGGGUCGAGCAACCCAUUGGGAACCGGCGUCAUGUCGCGGUCAUAGAUCCGGUUGUUCCAGACCUGUACCUCCGCUGACUUGCGAAUCUCGCUGCCCGAGAGCACGCUGAACCGGAUGCUCUUUCUGACAUCAAAAGCAACCAAACGUAACAGGGAAGCGGCAGAGUAAGUGUAAUCGUCGAGCUACGAUUCAUUAAACGGGACGCGAGCCGCAUGCUUACAUCCUCCGGGUGCCGACGUCCUCGAUGAAGGGUUCCUUGGUGCAGCGCAGCUUCUCCUCCGGCUUCGCCAUCACUUGAUGCGUUGCUCUGUACGGAUUAGAGUAGGGACUAGGUAUGCUGGGGAGUGAAGGGCGGCGGGCGGCGGGAGACGAGCACCGUAGUUUCGUCUCGAGCCGCCGCCGGCUAUUCUCCGGCGAGGAGUCCUCUGCACAGAAAGCGGAGGUGGAAGCAGCUUAGGCGGCGGCGGCGGCGGCGCGGGAGACCUAGAUCACUUUUACCUUACUGAUGACUUAAAUAAGUAAGGGUAAACUGAUAUUAUAUAUUGUCCCGUUCAAAUUUAUAAAAACAUUUGACUUUUUUUCUUUAAAUUUAAAUUUAAUAUAAAAAUCAGAGAUUAUUUAAACUGAUAUUAUAUAUUGUCUCGUUCUCAAAUAUUGUGAAUCAAAAACAAGUCAACACGAUUAUCAAACAUUAAGGACAUUUGUCUUUGAAAUAUUAUCUCCUCUCGGAUAUAAUGAUCUCCAGACGAAGAUCAUUGAUGACACGUCUUCAUGGUUCAUAAGAGUUUAUAUGCAUGAGUUGUUUUAUCCAUUAAUAUAUUUAUUCCAUGAUAAACAUAUAAAUAUUAUUAGAAUUUAUAUUACAUUGAUAUCUUCGGCUUGUUUGAAGGUGAUAACACGAGAGCAAUUACAAUCCAACGUGAACAGUAUGAGGGUACUGUUCAUCUAUUUAUAGGCAACUAUAAAAGUUUGUGUGCUAUUACAUUUAUGCCCUCGACAAUUACAUACAGAGUUUGCAAAAUGUUACAAGAGCAGUAUCGUCAUUUGUAUUUACUAACUUGAGCAACACCUUCUCCUCAUGUUGUAUAUCUGUUUCACCGUGAUGAAGCAUGUUGGACGAAGCUCACUUCGCUCCUCUUGUGUUAUGUCGAAGCUUUUCUGGUGACGAAGCUCUUGUAAUAUCUAAUAGUAUAUUGAAAGCAAAUGGUUAACCGCGUUUUUGACGACCUUUAGAAGAGGAAGGCCCCCAACAAUAACAUCGCUUGCAUUGCUAGGCAAACAAGGAAAACUGCUACUCUGUCCCGCCUAACCUAAGAGAUGGAUUAGUAUUAGGAAGAUUCAAUUCAAAAUACACAAAUAGUCGUUGAACACAUCACAACAACAAAAAAAAUAAUGAAUUUUAGCUAAAACACUCGUACUAUAAAAGUACACACAAUUAGUAGUACUAGUGUUGCACCGACUAAAUAGCUAUGAUAGAGAUGACCAUUAUUAAUCUAAUAAGAGUACAAAUUUCAAAUGUUGAAUGGCUAGACCACCUCUCUUGGUUUUGUGUUGCUGCAUGUUCUGAACUUUUUCCAUUGUAGAGGCAACAUGAAUAGUCGCUCAUCGACUCUUCAUAAUUGACUCUUCAUAAUUGUAGCAUCGCUUGCAUUGCUAGGCAACAAGGAGAAAUUGUUGCUCUAUCCAACCUAGCAUAAGAGAUGGAUUAGCAUUAGGAAGAUUCAAUUCAAAAUACACAAAUAGUCGUUGAACACAUCACAACAAAGAUAUUAGUGAAUUUUAGCUAAAGCACAUGUAUUAGUGGCUACCAGGGGCACUAUGGAAGUAGAGCCUAUUUUUUCUGAAAUUGCAACUCUGGUUCAUCAGUUGUCUGUUGUUCCUCACUAGAAAUCUGAAAUUUUGUUCAUUACAUAUAGCAAAGAUCAUGCAAACAGGACACCUGACUGCGAACACAAGGUUGACUUGUCCCUUGUGAUUCGGGUUGAUGAUGAUUGAUUGUCAGCGGGUAGCACUACAGGGUAGUCAGUGGACUGACCAGAGUGUGAGAUUAUGUUUGUGCAACCAUUUCGGUCGUCUUGUGGUGUGCAGGUGUGGAGCAUAGGGAUGGUGGUCAACGACUGAUGUGAAGGUCAUGCAGACUCGUCCUGAUGGACCGAGAGCGGUGAAGGCGAGUGUUGGGUCUUGACUGACGGACCAGAGCAGCCGGGUGACCAGUCGCGGUGGCUGACACCUAGGACACUGAAAGGGAAAUGUGCCCUUGGAUCAUUUCUAUAAAUAUUUUAGUGAUUAGAUGUUGAACACAUAUUGUUUUGUGCUAAGUGUCAAAGAGAUGCAAAUGGAAAAACAAGGUAUGACUCUAGCCUUAGUAAAUUGUUUUUGGUACUAACAUAUUCUUCUAAGUGCUAGAAACCUUGGCAAAUCGAGAGAAAUCAGAUUGGGGAACUCGCAUCAGCCUACGUUACACCGGACUGUCUAGUGUGCACCGGGCAGUGUCCGGUGCCCAGGCUGACGCGCCGGCAAACAGGCAGCUCUCGGGAUAAACUCAGCGUGCCACAACUAUAGUUCACCGGACUGUCCGGUGAGUCAGCCGCACCCACGCCAACGGGCAGCCACGCGAUCAGCGGGCGACACGUGGACUUCACCAAUGGUCGAAUGGUCACACCGGACUGUCAUGUGUGCCACCAGACUGUCCGGUGUGCCACGAGGGUCGAUGGCUGCAACGGUCGGCUUCACCAGAAAAGGAAGGAAAUCGUGCACUAUUCACUGUUUGGUGAUGCACCGGACUGUCAGGUGUGCCCACGGACAGAAGGCAACAAUGGCCUUCCAAAAUGGAGCUCCAACGGCUCCUAGCUUCCUUGGGGCUAUAAAAGGGACCCCUAGGCGUAUGGAGCAGGACACCAAGCCUCCAUUGAACAUCCUAAGACGCCUAGACCCCACAAACACGCAUUCGACUCAUUGUGUUUGAGAUCUUAGCACUUUUCUGAGUUGUGACUCUGUUGCGCUAUGUUGUGUACUCGAUUCUUGACUUGUGUGCGUGUUAUUACUACGACUCUAGCUCUUAUGUGUGUUUAUUUUCCCUCCCUUACUCUUGUGGUUGAAUUGUGAUCAAUCUUGUAAGGGUGUGAAAGGGAAAUAGGGUUAACCUUUUCCCGGUAUUAAUUUUGGUGGUUGAAUGCCCAACACAAAUAUUGGACUAACUAGUUUGCUCUAGAGUAUAUGAUCUACAGGUGCAUAAAGGUUCAACACAAACCAAUAAAAGAUUGAAGAUAGGGUUCAAAUACAAAGGAGCAAAGGAACCGAGAGUGCCCUGGUCUGGCGCACCGGACUGUUCGGUGUGCCACCGGACAGUGUCCGGUGCACCAGGACCAUACAAUCCCAAACCAGCCACUCUCGGGUUUUCGCCAGCGCGCUCCACUAUAAUUCACCGGACUGUCCGGUGUGCCACCGGACUGUCCAGUGUACCAGCGGAGUAACGGCUAUCCAGCGCAACAGUCGACUGCAACGUCGCCUGACAUCGCUAAAGUGAAGAACAGUGUGCGCGCAGAGUCAGAGGCGCACCGGACAGUGAACAGUGCCUGUCCGGUGCGGCACCGGACUGUCCGGUGCCACUAGAAGACAAAGCCUCCAACGAUUGACUGCUCUCGAACCCUAACGGUUGGGUGACGUGGCUGGCGCACCAGACUGUCCGGUGCGCCCAUCGACAGCAGCCUGCCCCAACGGUCAAAUUGGUGGUUUAGGGCUAUAAAUACCUCCCAACCACCACCACUCCAACCAUCCAAACAUUCCACACAUUGCAUUCAAUACAAGAGCGAUAGACUUCACUCCAAGACACAAAUCAAAGCAAUCGAUCCACUCGAAGUCCCAAAUUCAACUCUAGCGCAUUAGGGCUUGUGAGAGGAUCACUUGUGUUUCUUGUUGCUCUUGUUUGCUUGGUUGGCUUUCUUUUCUUUUCAUUUGUUACUCUCAAGUGCUUUGUAAGCAAGGCAAGAGACACCAAUUGUGUGGUGGUCCUUGCAGGGUCUAAGUGACCCGUGAGAAGUAAGAAGAAAGCUCAUUCGGUCUAAGUGACCGUUUGAGAGAGGGAAAGGGUUGAAAGAGACCCGAUCUUUGUGACCACCUCAACGAGGACUAGGUUCUUUAGAACUGAACCUCGGUAAAACAAAUCACCGUGUUCAUCCACUUUAUUUUUUUGGUUGAUUUGUUUUUCCCUAUCUUUCGAACUCGAAUUUAAUUCUAACGCUAUCCCCGGCUUGUAGUGUGCGCUUAAGUUUAUAAUUUUCAGAUUCCGCCUAUUCACCCCCCUCUAGGCGACUUUCAAUUGGUAUCAGAGCCUGGCGGUUCAUUAGAGUCUAACAACUCGAAGUGAUGUCGGGAGGAUCCGCCAAGAGGGAGAUAGAAACCGGCGAGAAGGCCACAAGCCAUGGGAAGGCUCCAUCAAGGGAGUCUGGCACCAAAGCCAAAGAGGGAUCCCCUCUCCACGUCAAGUCGCAUCGGAGUGGCGACAAGAAGAAGAAGAUGAAGAAAGUGGUCUACUACGAGACCGAUUCUUCGUCGCCCUCCACAUCCGGCUCCGACACGCCGUUCGUCACUUCUAAGCGCCAUGAGCGCAAGAAGUUUAGUAAGAUCCCCUUACGCUAUCCACGCAUUUCCAAACGCACUCCUUUACUUUCCGUCCCACUAGGCAAACCACCGGUCUUUAACGGUGAAGAUUAUUGUAUGUGGAGUGAUAAAAUGAGGCACCAUCUAACCUCACUCCACGCUAGCAUUUGGGAUAUUGUUGAGUUUGGUGCGCAGGAACCAUCCGUGGGGGAUGAAGGCUAUGAUUCGGACGAGGUAGCCCAAAUCCAACACUUCAACUCCCAAGCCACUACUAUACUCCUCGCCUCUCUAAGUCGAGAGGAGUAUAAUAAGGUACAAGGGUUGAAGAGUGCCAAAUAGAUUUGGGACAUGCUCAAGAUCGCGCACGAAGGAGACGAGGUGACCAAGAUCACCAAGCGAGAGACGAUCGAGGGGGAGCUCGGUCGAUUCAUGCUUUACCAAGGGGAGGAGCCACAAGCCAUGUAUAACCGGCUCAAGACCUUGGUGAACCAAGUGCGCAACCUCGGGAGCACCAAAUGGGAUGACCAUGAGAUGGUCAAGGUUAUUCUUAGAUCACUCGUUUUCCUUAACCCUACUCAAGUUCAAUUAAUUCGUGGUGAUCCAAGAUAUAAACUAAUGUCUCCCGAGGAAGUGAUAGGAAAGUUUGUGAGCUUUGAGCUAAUGAUCAAAGGCUCCAAACAAAUCAUUGAGCGAGGCGCCUCCUCCACACCCGAGGUACAACCCGUCACAUUCAAGGCGACAGAGGAGAAGAAAGAAGAGUCUACAUCAAGUAGACUCCCCAUCGACGCCUCCAAACUCGACAACGAGGAGAUGGCGCUCAUCAUCAAGAGCUUCCACCAAAUCCUCAAGCAAAGGAGGGGGAAUGAUUACAAACCCCGCUCCAAGAAGGUUUGCUACAAAUGUGGUAAGCCUGGUCAUUUCAUUGCUAAAUGUCCAUUAUCAAGUGAUAGUGACAGGGGCGAUGACAAGAAGGGAAGAAGGAAGGAGAAGAAGAAGUAUUACAAGAAGAAGGGCGGCGAUGCCCAUGUUUGCCGGGAGUGGGACUCCGAUGAGAGCUCCACCGACUCCUCCUCCGACGAGGAUGUCGCAAACAUCGCCGUCAACAAGGGUCUCCUCUUCCCCAACGUCGGCCACAAGUGCCUCAUGGCAAGGGACGACAAAACGAAGGUAAAAUCUAGAGCCUCCACUAAAUAUGCAACAUCUAGUGAUGAGGAGAACUCUAGUGAUGAUGAGGAUAAUUUAGUUGCCCUUUUUGCCAACCUAAAUAUGCAACAAAAGGAAAAAUUAAAUGAAUUGAUAGGUGCUAUUCAUGAGAAGGAUGAACUCUUGGAUAGCCAAGAGGACUUCCUAAUUAAGGAAAAUAAGAAGUAUGUUAAGGUUAAGAAUGCUUAUGCUCAGGAGAUAGAAAAAUGUGAGAAAUUGACUAAUGAGCUUAGCACUUGCCAUGAUAUCAUAUCCAACCUUAGAAAUGAUAAUGCCAAAUUAAUUGCUAAGGUUGAGAAGUUAAAUGUUUGUGAUGAUUCUUUUGCCAAUCUUAAAAAUGAUAAUGCUAGUUUACUUGCUAAGAUUGACAAAUUAAAUGAAUCAAUUUCUAGCCUUAAAACUGAGAAUGACAAAUUAAUUGCUAAGGCUAAGAAUUUAAAUGUUUGCAAUGAUAUUGUUUCAAAUCUUAGAAAUGAAAAUGUCAUGUUACAUGCUAAGAUUGAUGAGUUUAAUGUUUGCAAACCCUCUACAUCUAUCAUUGAGCAUGUAUCUAUUUGCACUAGAUGUAGAGAUGUUAAUGUCGAUGCUAUCCAUGAUCACAUUGCUAUGAUUAAACAACAAAAUGAUCACAUAGCAAAAUUAGAUGCUAAAAUUGUCGAGCAUGAAUUAGAGAAUGAAAAAUUUAAAUUUGCUCGUAGUAUGCUUUAUAGUGGGAGACGCCCUGGCAUUAAGGAUGGCAUUGGCUUCCAACAGGGAGGCAAUGUCAAGCUUAAUGCCCCUAAGAAAUUGCCUAAUUUUGUUAAGGGCAAAGCUCCCAUGGCUCAGGAUAACGAGGGUUACAUUUUAUACCAUGCCGGUUAUCCCGAGCACAAAAUUAGGAGAAUUCACUCUAGGAAGUCUCACUCUGGCUCUAAUCAUGCUUUUAUGUAUAAGAGUGAGGCAUCUAGCUCUAGGCAAUCAACCCAUGUUAAAUUACCUAAAAAGAAAUCUCCUAUAGCAUCAAAUGAACCUAAUAUUUCAUUUAAGACUUUUGAUGCUUCUUAUGUGCUCACUAACAAAUCAGGCAAAGUAGUUGCCAAAUAUGUUGGGGUCAAACACAAGGGAUCGAAGACUUGUGUUUGGGUACCCAAGGUGCUUGUUUCUAAUGUGAAAGGACCCAAGACCAUUUGGGUACCUAAGAACAAGGCCUAAAUUUGUUUUGUAGGUUUAUGCAUCCGGGGGCUCAAGUUGGAUCAUUGAUAGCGGGUGCACAAACCACAUGACUGGGGAGAAAAGGAUGUUCUCCUCCUAUGAGAAAAAACAUGAUCCCCAAAGAGCUAUCACAUUCGGGGAUGAAAAUCAAGGUUUGGUCAAAGGACUUGGUAAAAUUGCUAUAUCACCUGACCAUUCCAUUUCCAAUGUUUUUCUUGUAGAUUCUUUAGAUUAUAACUUGCUUUCAGUUUCUCAAUUAUGCAAAAUACGCUACAAUUGUAUUUUUAGGGAUAUAGGUGUUACUGUCUUUAGAAGAAGUGAUGAUUCAGUAGUGUCGGCAUUUCAAACCCGGGGGGUCCCUGGACCGACGAGUAAAUUAUCGCCGCGUGCCCCAGUCCAGAUGGAUCGGCGCGAGACGGAGCGCGAAGGGGGGAAGCAGCCGGAGGGAGACAGGCGUGAGAGGUGAAAUCCCGCGGCCUUCGUGUUUGUCCUGCGCCCAGGUCGGGUGCACUUGCAGUAGGGGGUUACAAGCGUCCACGCGGGAGGGAGCGAGCGGCCUUGCGCGAGCGCCGUCCCGUCCUUCCCCAUGCGGCCAACCCUCUCUAAGAGGGCCCUGAACCUUCCUUUUAUAGGCGUAAGGAAAGGAUCCAGGUGUACAAUGGGGGGUGUAGCAGUGUGCUAACAUGUCUAGCGGAGGAGAGCUAGCGCCCUAAGUACAUGCCAUCGUGGCAGCCGGAGAGGUUUCGGCACCCGGUUGGUGUGGUGUCGUGGCCGUCGGAGGAGCGUUGGAGCCUGGCGGAAGGACAACUGUCGGGGCUGUCGGGUCCUUGCUGACGUCCUCUUGCUUCCGUAAGGGGGCUGAGAGCCGCCGUCGUCAUAGAACAUGCGGGGCGCCAUCAUUACUUGUCUGGCGAAGCGAGCCAGAUGGGACACCGGUCCUGUUCCCCGUAGCCUGAGUCAGCUUGGGGUAGGGUAAUGAUGGCGCCUCCUGUGACGUGGUCGGUCCGAGCCCUGAGUUGGGCGAGGUGGAGGCUCCUCCGAGGUCGAAGUCGAGUCUGUCUUCCGAGGCCGAAGUCGAGUCCGAGCCCCUGGGUCGGGCGAGGCGGAGACCGUCGGCUGAGGCCAGGGCUGAGUCCGAGCCCUGGGGUCGGGCGAAGCGGAGUUCGUCUCUUCCGGGGCUGAGCCCGAGUCCGAGCCCUGGGGUCGGGCGAAGCGGAGUUCGUUUCUUCCGGGGCUGAGCCCGAGUCCGAGCCCUGGGGUCGGGCGAAGCGGAGUUCGUCAUCUUCUGGGGCUGAGCCCGAGUCCGAGCCCUGGGGUCGGGCAAAGCGGAGUUCGUCGUCUUCCGGGGCUGAGCCCGAGUCCGAGCCCUGGGGUCGGGCGAAGUGGAGUUCGUCGUCUUCUGGGGCUGAGCCCGAGUCCGAGCCCUGGAGUCGGGCAAAGCAGAGUUUCCUAUGGCGCCUGAGGCCGGACUUGGCUGCUGUCAGCCUCACUCUGUCGAGUGGCACGGUAGUCGGAGCGGCGCAGGCGGCGCUGUCCUCUUGUCAGGCCUGUCAGUGGAGCGGCGAAGUGACUACGGUCACUUCGGCUCUGUCAACUGGAGGACGCGCGUCAGGAUAAAGGUGUCAGGCCACCUUUGCAUUAAAUGCCCCUACGAUUUGGUCGGUUGGCGUGGCGAUUUGGUCAAGGUUGCUUCUUGGUGAAGACUGGGCCUCGGGCGAGCCGAAGGUGUGUCCGUUGCUGGAGGGGGUCCUCGGGCGAGACGUAGAUCCUCCGGGGUCGGCUGCCCUUGCCCGAGGCUGGGCUCGGGCGAGGCGGGAUCGUGUCCCUUGAAUGGACCGAUCCUUGACUUAAUCGCACCCAUCAGGCCUUUGCAGCUUUGUGCUGAUGGGGGUUACGAGCUGAGAUUUAGGAGUCUUGAGGGUACCCCUAAUUAUGGUCCCCGACAGUAGCCCCCGAGCCUCGAAGGGAGUGUUAAUACUCGCUUGGAGGCUUUUGUCGCACUUUUUUGCAAGGGGACCAGCCUUUCUCGGUUGCGUCUUGUUCUGGUGGGUGCGCGCGAGCGCACCCGCCGGGUGUAGCCCCCGAGGCCUCGGAGGAGUGGUUUGGCUCCUUCGAGGUCUUAAUGCAUUUUGUAAUGUUUCGGCAGGUCUGGUCGUUCCCUCAUGCGAGCUGGCCGUAGCCCGGGUGCACGGUCGGGUCCCAAGUUCUCGGGCUGGUAUGUUGACGCUGUCAACGGUUUGGCCGGAGCCGAGUUUGCGAGAGCAGCCCCCGAGCCUCCGCACAGGGCGAGAGGAUGGUCAAGGACAGACUCGACUUUUUUACAUACGCCCCUGCGUCGCCUUUCCACAAGGAGGAGGGGGAGAGCUCCAUGUUGCCCUUGGAGGGCGCCGAACAUGGUGUCUCCAGCGAGCUGCUGACGGGUAAUCCGAGUGGACGCCCGUGCCCCAUUUGUUAGGGGUCGGCUAGAGGCCCGGAGGCGCGCUCCAAAAGUACCUGCGGGUGAUCUUCCGGACCCGGUCCCCUUUUGAUGGGGUCCGAGGGCUCGAUGCCUCCCUCUGAUGGGAUUCCGUUACAAGAUCGUUCCCGCUGGUCUCGGAAAUGUCCUAGGGUACCUCGGGAGCGUAGCCCGAGCCUUGGUUAUGUAUCGAACGUACCCAGGGUCAUCCCUCGCUCUGCGUCUGAGGCGGCUGUGAACCCUUCGUGGGCCAGCCUACGAACCCCUAAUCAGUAGUGGGCGCGGAGCCCGAGUGGCCUGAGGCGGCCGUUGAACCCUUCCGAGGGGCCGGCCCUCGAACCUCUGACCAGUAGUGGGCGCGGAGCCCGAGCGCUCUGAGGCGGCUGUUGAACCCCUCUGAGGGGCCAGCCUUCGAACCUCUGAUCAGUAGGGGGGCUCGGGGUCCGUUUCCUUCGCGGAGAAGGAUCCCUUUCGGGGUAUCCCCCUUUCCCGGUCCCUGUUGUAAGAGAGAGAAAGAGGAAAGGGGAGAGAAUACGAAAUCGAGAUGAUGUGGCGCACCUUUUUGACGCGGUCAUUAUGGCGAAGGCGAAGCGUCGCUCGCUUCUCCUGCCAAAGGCGCCGCCUGUCCCGCCGCGGAGUUAAUGCGACGGGGUGAGUGGUUUGCGGGGCAGCCGUUGCGCGUGCGCGGUCCGUUCGAGGAACGGAACACGGGCGCGUCGUCUUCACACCGUGAGAGAGGGUUCUCUCGCUGUCCCACGAGGUGACGUGAGCUUGGCUGACGACGUGACCGCUGCUUCUGCCCGCCUGCCACCGCCAUUACUGCCGGCCCAUUUUUGGCUGCAUCGACCGUCUCGCCUUCUCCUGCGGCUGACUGGCCCGUGACCGAUGCGUCUGGCUAGCACUGUUGGGUCGUACGCAGAGUUGCCUCGAGUCGCGGUACUAGUUCCGCAGUCGAGGAGGCGCGGUAGUGGCACGAGUGGCGGUGCAGUUGCUCGCACGUAGCAACCGGCGCGCCGGUUGCAUGACGUGUGAGCCUAGGCCUCCAUGCUGGGCGCGUUGGAGUCGAAGGGGUGCGCCCACUUGGCGCGGUUGCAUGCCGACUGCAUGGUUGUCCGCCCUUUCACCCGCUGGUCUGGGCGAAAGUGGAGGAAUGCUUGUAACCGCUGGGCAGUUGCGUGUACCGCGCGCGGCGGUUUGGCUUCUUCUGCCCUGGGCCAGCUUGCAUGACGCGUGGGACCCAGCCCCCGUGUCGUAGGGGGAGGACCUUGGAGCGUGUUGGAGAAGACUCAGCCCUUGAUGGCUGAGGACGCAGGUGGGAAGAGUCGCCUUUAAAAGGAGGGUGAUCCCCUUGAAAGGCGACCAUGUCUUCGCACUCCCUUAUGCAUCGCGUCUUUCCACCUUCCGAGCCCCCGGAUGGGGAACACCCGCAAUCCUUCCACCUUGUCGUUGGAGGAACGCAACUUCGUGGAAGUUGGUACCUUUCAGCCAUCGUUCGGUUUCAAGGAUUUUCAUUAUGCAGCCCGGCCGCAUCCCCUCGCCGGCGGUCACCCAAGACGGUGACCACCAGCCCCUGGGUGGGGAGAAGCAAGCCGGGCUGCGAUCUUGGUCCCGCCCUCAGCUUCAAGGAUGUUCAUCAUCCUUGCUGGGGCGGAGGCCGGGCUGAGCCGGAGCUCUACCUCCCGCGCGGGUUCGUCGGUCAGCCUCUCCUUCAGCAUUUUUGGCACGGAGCCUGAACAUGUAUGUAUUUAUUUUUGGCACGGAGCCUGAACAUGCAAUGUCUUGUUCAUUGCGGCUGUCGGGGCCUGAACAUGUAUGUAUUUUUGGCACGGAGCCGUGUUUUUUCCUCAUUUUGAGCACUAAGACUCGCCUGUCGACUAUCUGAACCGCUUCACCAAGCGUGAGUCGCCUCGUGCAAAGGUGACGAGUGAGGUAUCCGUAUCCCGGAGGCGUAGGAGUCCCUCGGCUCGGUCGGCCUUGUCGUCCGAGGCUUCUCUUGCUUAGUUAAAGGAAACCCUCGGCCGCUCUUCGAUGAGCCUGAAAGUCGCCUAGAGGGGGGGUGAAUAGGGCGAAACUGAAAUUCUAAAAAAUAAUCACAACUACAAGCCGGGUUAGCGUUAGAAAUAUGAUAGAGUCCGCGAGAGAGGGUGCAAAACAAAUCGCAAGCGAAUAAUGAAGUGAGACACACAGAUUUGUUUUACCGAGGUUCGGUUCUCUCAAACCUACUCCCCGUUGAGGAGGCCACAAAGGCCGGGUCUCUUUCAACCCUUCCCUCUCUCAAACGGUCCCUCAGACCGAGUGAGCUUCUCUUCUCAAAUCACAUGGGAAUCAAAACUUCCCGCAAGGACCACCACACACUUGGUGUCUCUUGCCUCAAUUACAAGUGAGUGUUUGAUCACAAGAAAGAAUGACAAAGAAAAGAAGCGAUCCAAGUGCAAGAGCUCAAAUGAACACUACAAAUCACUCUCACUAGUCACUAAGGCUUUGUGUGGAGUUGAGAGAGGAUUUGAUCCUUUUUGGUGUGCUUUGCAAUGAAUGCUAGCUCCUGUAUAGUGGUUGGAAGCUGGAAAACUUGGAUGCAAUGAAUGGUGAGGUGGUUGGGGUAUUUAUAGCCUCAACCACCAAACUAGCCGUUUGCAGAGGCUGUCUGUUCGAUGGCGCACCGGACAGUCCGGUGCACACCGGACAUGUCCGGUGCGACAGCCACGUCACCAAAAGCCAUUGGGUUCGACCGUUGGAGCUCUGUCUUCUGGGCCCGCCUUGAUGUCCGGUGGCGCACCGGACAUGUACUGUAGAGUGUCCGGUGCGCCAGCAUGGGCGUGCCUGACCUCUGCGCGCGCUGGCGCGCAUUUAUUACGUCGCAGGUAGCCGUUGGCGCCUGAAGUAGCCGUUACCCCGCUGUUGCACCGGACAGUCCGGUGUACACCGGACAGUCCGGUGAAUUAUAGCGGAGUGGCCGAAGUGAAUUUCCGAGACUGGCGAGUUCCGGAGGCCGCUCUUCCUUGGAGCACCGGACACUGUCCGGUGUACACCGGACAGUCCGGUGAAUUAUAGCGGAGUCGCCUCUGGAAUUUCCUGAAGGUGAGCAGUUCGGAGUUGGAGUCCUCUGGUGCAUCGGACAUGUCCGGUGGCACACCGGACAGUCCGGUGCGCCAGACCAGAGGUGCCUUCGGUUGACCCUUGUUCCUUUGUUUGAACCCAAUACUUGGUCUUUUUAUUGGCUAAGUGUGAACCUUUGGCACCUGUAUAACUUAUAUACUUGAGCAAACUAGUUAGUCUAAAUAUUUGUGUUGGGCAAUUCAACCACCAAAAUUAAUUAGGGACUAGGUGUAAGCCUAAUUCCCUUUCAAUCUCCCCCUUUUUGGUGAUUGAUGCCAACACAAACCAAAGCAAAUGUAGAAGUGCAUAAUUGAACUAGUUUGCAUAAUGUAAGUGCAAAGGUUGCUUAGAGUUGAGCCAAUAAAUAUCACUUACUAGAUAUGCAUGGAUUGUUUCUUUAUAUUAACAUUUUGGACCACGCUUGCACCACAUGUUUUGUUUUUGCAAAUUCUUUUGUGAAUCCUUUUCAAAGUUCUUUUGCAAAUAGUCAAAGAUAAAUGAAUAAGAUUUUACAAAGCAUUUUCAAGAUUUGAAAUUUUCUCCCCCUGUUUCAAAUGCUUUUCCUUUGACUAAACAAAACUCCCCCUAAAUGAGAUCCUCCUCUUAGUGUUCAAGAGGGUUUUGAUGUAUCAUUUUUGAAAUACUACUUCCUCCCCCUUUUGAACAUAAUAAGAUACCAAUUUGAAAUUGAUCAAUUGAAAAUCUCCAAUUUUAAAAAUUAGGUGGUGGUGCAGUCCUUUUGCUUUGGGCUCAUAUUUUCUCCCCCUUUGGCAUGAAUCGCCAAAAACGGAAUCAUUAGAGCCCGUAGGAGUACUUUCUCCUCCUUUGGUCAUAAAAUAAAUGAGGGAAGAUUAUACCAAAGUUGGAGAGUGAUGCGGAGCGACGGCGAAGGAUGAGUAGUAGAGUGGAGUGGAAGCCUUGUCUUCGCCGAAGACUCCAAUUCUCUUUCAAUAUAUCUAUGACUUGGUUUGAAAUAGACUUGAAAACACAUUAGUCAUAGAAAAAAGAGACAUGAUCAAAGGUAUACUCAUGAGCUAUGUGUGCAAAUUAGCAAAAGAAAUUUCUCGAAUCAAGAAUAUUGAGCUCAUGCCUAAGUUUGGUAAAGGAUUGUUCAUCAAGUGGCUUGGUAAAGAUAUCGACUAAUUGAUCUUUAGUGUUAAUGUAUGAAAUCUCGAUAUCCCCCUUUUGUUGGUGAUCCCGAAGAAAAUGAUACCGAAUGGCUAUGUGUUUAGUGCAGCUAUGCUCAACAGGAUUAUCCGCCAUGCGGAUUGCACUCUCAUUAUCACAUAGAAGGGGAACUUUGGUUAAUUUGUAACCAUAGUCCCGCAGGGUUUGCCUCAUCCAAAGCAAUUGCGCGCAACAAUGGCCUGCGGCAAUAUACUCAGCUUCGGCGGUAGAAAGAGCGACCGGAUUUUGCUUCUUUGAAGCCCAAGACACCAAGGAUCUUCCCAAGAACUGGCAAGUCCCCGAUGUGCUCUUUCUAUUAAUCUUACACCCCGCCCAAUCGGCAUCCGAAUAUCCAAUCAAAUCAAAUGUGGAUCCCCGAGGGUACCAAAGCCCAAACUUAGGAGUAUAAGCAAAAUAUCUUAAGAUUCGUUUUACGGCCGUAAGGUGGGAUUCCUUAGGGUCGGAUUGGAAUCUUGCACACAUGCAAACGGAAAGCAUAAUGUCCGGUCGAGAUGCACAUAAAUAAAGCAAUGAACCAAUCAUCGACCGGUAUACCUUUUGAUCCACGGACUUACCUCCUGUGUCGAGGUCGAGAUGCCCAUUGGUUCUCAUGGGUGUCUUGAUGGGCUUGGCAUCCUUCAUUCCAAACUUGGUUAGAAUGUCUUGAGUGUACUUUGUUUGGCUAAUGAAGGUGCCCUCUUGGAGUUGCUUGACUUGGAAUCCUAGAAAAUACUUCAACUCCCCCAUCAUCGACAUCUCGAAUUUUUGUGUCAUGAUCCUACUAAAUUCUUCACAAGUAGAUUCGUUAGUAGACCCAAAUAUGAUAUCAUCAACAUAAAUUUGGCAUACGAACAAAUCAUUGUCAAAAGUUUUAGUGAACAAAGUAGGAUCGGCCUUGCCGACUUUGAAGCCAUUAGUAAUAAGGAAAUCUCUAAGGCAUUCAUACCAUGCUCUUGGGGCUUGCUUGAGCCCAUAAAGCGCCUUAGAGAGCUUAUAGACAUGGUUAGAAUACUCACUGUCUUCAAAGCCGGGAGGUUGCUCAACGUAGACCUCUUCCUUGAUUGGUCCAUUGAGGAAGGCACUCUUCACGUCCAUUUGGUAAAGCUUGAAGCCAUGGUAAGUAGCAUAGGCCAAUAAUAUACGAAUUGACUCAAGCCUAGCUACGGGUGCAUAGGUUUCACCAAAAUCCAAACCUUCGACUUGUGAAUACCCCUUGGCCACGAGUCGAGCUUUGUUCCUUGUCACCACACCAUGCUCGUCUUGCUUGUUGCGGAAGACCCACUUGGUUCCUACAACAUUUUGAUUAGGACGUGGAACUAAAUGCCAUACCUCGUUCCUCGUGAAAUUGUUGAGCUCCUCUUGCAUCGCCAUCACCCAAUCUGAAUCUUGGAGUGCUUCCUCUACCCUGUGUGGCUCAAUAGAGGAAACAAAAGAGUAAUGCUCACAAAAAUGUGCAACAUGAGAUCGAGUGGUUACCCCCUUAUGAAUGUCGCCAAGAAUGGUGUCGACGGGGUGAUCUCGUUGGAUUGCUUGGUGGACUCUUGGGUGUGGCGGCCUUGGUUGUUCAUCCUCCUUGUCUUCAUCAUUUACAUCUCCCCCUUGAUCAUUGUCGUCAUCUUGAGGUGGCUCAUUUAUUUGAUCUUCCCUUUCAUCAACUUGAGCCUCGUCCUUAUUUUGAGUUGGUGGGGAUGCUUGCAUGGAGGAGGAUGGUUGAUCUUGUGCAUUUGGAGGCUCUUUAGAUUCCUUAGGACAUACAUCCCCAAUGGACAUGUUCCUUAGCGCGAUGCACGGUGCCUGUUCUUCACCUAUCUCAUCAAGAUCAACUUGCUCUACUUGAGAGCCAUUAGUCUCAUCAAACACAACGUCACAAGAAACUUCAACAAGUCCUGAGGACUUGUUAAAGACUCUAUAUGCCCUUGUGUUUGAGUCAUAUCCUAGUAAAAAGCCUUCUACAGUUUUAGGAGCAAAUUUAGAUUUUCUACCUCUCUUAAUAAGAAUAAAGCAUUUGCUACCAAAAACUCUAAAAUAUGAAAUAUUUGGCUUUUUACCGGUUAGGAGUUCAUAGGAUGUCUUCUUGAGGAUUCGGUGUAGAUAUAACCGGUUGAUGGCGUAGCAGGCGGUGUUGACCGCCUUGGCCCAAAACCGAUCCGAUGUCUUGUACUCAUCAAGCAUGGUUCUUGCCAUGUCCAAUAGAGUUCGAUUCUUCCUCUCCACUACACCAUUUUGUUGUGGAGUGUAGGGAGAAGAGAACUCGUGCUUGAUCCCCUCCUCCUCAAGGAAGCCUUCAAUUUGAGAGUUCUUGAACUCCGUCCCGUUGUCGCUUCUAAUUUUCUUGAUCCUCAAGCCGAACUCAUUUUGAGCCCGUCUCAAGAAUCCCUUUAAGGUUUCUUGGGUAUGAGAUUUUUCCUGCAAAAAGAACACCCAAGUGAAGCGAGAAUAAUCAUCCACAAUAACUAGACAGUACUUACUCCCACCGAUGCUUAUGUAAGCGAUCGGGCCGAAUAGGUCCAUGUGUAGGAGCUCCAGUGGCCUGUCACUAGUCAUGAUGUUUUUGUGUGGAUGAUGGGAACCAACUUGCUUUCCUGCUUGGCAUGCGCUACAAAUCCUGUCUUUCUCAAAAUGAACAUUUGUUAGUCCCAAAAUAUGUUCUCCCUUUAGAAGCUUAUGAAGAUUCUUCAUUCCAACGUGGGCUAGUCGGCGAUGCCAGAGCCAACCCAUGUUAGUCUUAGCAAUUAAGCAUGUGUCGAGUUCAGCUCUAUCAAAAUCUACCAAGUAUAGCUGACCCUCUAACACACCCUUAAAUGCUAUUGAAUCAUCACUUCUUCUAAAGACAGUGACACCUACAUCAGUAAAGAGACAAUUGUAGCCCAUUUGACAUAAUUGGGAUACGGAAAGCAAAUUGUAAUCUAAAGAAUCUACAAGAAAAACUUUGGAAAUGGAAUGGUCAGGAGAUAUAGCUAUUUUACCCAAACCUUUGACCAAACCUUGGUUUCCAUCCCCGAAUGUGAUAGCUCGUUGGGGAUCUUGGUUUUUCUCAUAUGAGGAGAACAUCUCUGACCAAACCUUGGUUUCCAUCCCCGAAUGUGAUAGCUCGUUGGGGAUCUUGGUUUUUCUCAUAUGAGGAGAACAUCUUCUUCUCCCAUGUCAUGUGGUUUGUGCACCCGCUGUCGAGUAUCCAACUUGAGCCCCCCGGAUGCGUAAACCUACAAAACAAUUUUAGUUCUUGACUUUAGGUACCCAAACGGUUUUGGGUCCUUUGGCAUUAGAAACAAGAACUUUGGGUACCCAAACACAAGUCUUGGAGCCCUUGUGAUUGCCCCCAAUAAACUUGGCAACUACUUUGCCGGAUUUGUUAGUCAAAACAUAAGAUGCAUCAAAAGUUUUAAAUGAAAUGCUAUGAUCAUUUGAUGCAAUAGGAGUUUUCUUUCUAGGCAACUUAGCACGGGUUGGUUGCCUAGAGCUAGAUGUCUCACCCUUAUACAUAAAAGCAUGGUUAGAGCCAGAGUGAGACUUCCUAGAAUGAGUUCUCCUAAUUUUGCUCUCGGGAUAACCGGCAGGGUACAAAAUGUAACCCUCGUUAUCCUGAGGCAUGGGAGCCUUGCCCUUAACAAAGUUAGACAAGUUCUUAGGAGGGGCAUUAAGUUUAACAUUGUCUCCCCUUUGGAAUCCAAUGCCAUCCUUGAUGCCAGGGCGUCUCCCAUUAUAGAGCAUACUUCUAGCAAAUUUAAAUUUUUCAUUUUCUAAGUUUUGCUCGGCAAUUUUAGCAUCUAAUAGUGCUAUAUGAUCAUUUUGUUGUUUAAUUAAGACCAUAUGAGCAUGAAUAGCAUCAACAUCAAUAUCUCUACAUCUAGUACAAAUAGAAACACGCUCAACCUUAGAUGUAGAGGGUUUGCAAGAUUUUAAUUCAACAACCUUAGCAUGUAAUACAUCAUUCUCACUUCUAAGGUUGGAAAUAGUAACAUUGCAAACAUCAAAAUCUUUAGCCUUAGCAAUCAAAUUUUCAUUUUCUAUUCUAAGGCUAGCAAGAGAAUCAUUCAAUUCCUUAAUCUUAGCAAGCAAAUCAUCAUUAUCAUUACUAAGAUUGGGAAUUGAGGCAUUACAAACAUGUGAAUCAACCUUAGCAAUCAAUUUAGCAUUUUCACUUCUAAGGUUGGCAAUAGUGUCAUGGCAUGUGCUUAGCUCACUAGAUAAUUUGUCACAUUUUUCUACCUCUAGAGCAUAAGCAUUUUUAACCUUAACAUGUUUUUUGUUUUCCUUAAUAAGGAAGUCUUCUUGAGAGUCCAAGAGAUCAUCCUUCUCAUGAAUAGCACUAAUUAGUUCAUUUAAUUUUUCCUUUUGUUGCAUGUUAAGAUCGGCAAAAAGGGUACGCAAAUUAUUCUCCUCAUCACUAGCAUUAUCAUCACUAGAGGAUUCAUAUUUAGUGGAGGAUUUAGAUUUAACCUUCUUCUUUUUGCCGUCCUUUGCCAUGAGGCACUUGUGGCCGACGUUGGGGAAGAGGAGUCCCUUGGUGACGGCGAUGUUGGCGGCGUCCUCGUCGGAGGAGGACUCGGUGGAGCUCUCGUCGGAGUCCCACUCCCGGCAAACAUGGGCAUCGCCGCCCUUCUUCUUGUAGUACUUCUUCUUUUCUCUCCUCUUUCCCUUCUUGUCGUCGCCCCUGUCACUGUCACUAGAUAUAGGACAUUUUGCAAUAAAAUGACCGGGCUUACCACACUUGUAGCACACUUUCUUGGAGCGGGGUUUGUAGUCCUUCCCCCUCCGUUGCUUGAGGAUUUGGCGAAAGCUUUUGAUGAUUAAAGCCAUCUCCUCAUUGUCGAGCUUGGAGGCGUCAAUUGGUUGUCUACUUGGUGUAGACUCCUCCUUCUUUUCCUCCGUCGCCUUAAAUGCCACCGGUUGCGCCUCGGACGUGGAGGGUUCGUCAAGCUCGUUGAUCUUCUUUGAGCCUUUAAUCAUGCAUUCAAAGCUCACAAAAUUCCCGAUAACUUCCUCGGGAGUCAUUAGUGUGUAUCUAGGAUUACCACGAAUUAAUUGAACUUGAGUAGGGUUAAGGAAAAUAAGUGAUCUCAAAAUAACCUUAACUACUUCGUGGUCAUCCCAUUUCUUGCUCCCGAGGUUGCGCACUUGGUUCACCAAGGUUUUGAGCCGGUUGUACAUAUCUUGUGGCUCCUCCCCUUGGCGAAGACGGAAGCGACCGAGCUCCCCCUCGAUCGUUUCCCGCUUGGUGAUCUUGGUGAGUUCAUCACCCUCGUGCGCGGUCUUGAGUAGGUCCCAAAUCUCCUUUGCAUUCUUCAACCCUUGCACCUUGUUGUAUUCCUCCUUGCUUAGAGAGGCGAGGAGUAUGGUUGUAGCUUGUGAGUUGAAGUGCUCGAUUUAGGCCACUUCGUCCGUAUCAUAGUCUUCAUCCCCUACGGAUGGUACCUGUGCUCCAAACUCAACAACAUUCCAUAUACUUUUGUGGAGUGAGGUUAGAUGAAAUUUCAUUAAAUCACUCCACCUAGCAUAAUCUUCGCCAUCAAAAGUUGGCGGUUUGCCUAAUGGAACGGAAAGUAAAGGAGUAUGUCUAGAUGUACGAGGAUAGUGUAAGGGGAUCUUACUAAACUUCUUGCGCUCUUGGCGCUUAGAAGUUACGGACGGCGCAUCAGAGUCGGAGGUAGAUGUUGAUGAAGUGUCGGUCUCGUAGUAGACCACUUUCCUCAUCCUCUUGUGCUUGUCGCCUUUCCGAUGCGACUUGUGGGAAGAAGAUUUUUCCUUCUUCUCUUUGUGGUGAGAAGAAGAAGAUCUUUUCUCCUUCCGCUUGGAGGAGUUCUUCUUCUUCUCCUUCCUCUUGGUGUGGGACUCUUCCGAUGAAGUGCUCCCUUGGCUCGUAGUGGGCUUGUCGCCGGUCUACAUCUCCCUCUUGGUGUGAUCUCCCGACAUCACUUCGAGCGGUUAGGCUCUAAUGAAGCACUGGGUUCUGAUACCAAUUGAAAGUCGCCUAGAGGGGGGGUGAAUAGGGCGAAACUAAAAUUCUCAAAAAUAAUCACAACUACAAGCCGGGUUAGCGUUAGAAAUAUGAUAGAGUCCGCGAGAGAGGGUGCAAAACAAAUCGCAAGCGAAUAAUGAAGUGAGACACGCGGAUUUGUUUUACCGAGGUUCGGUUCUCUCAAACCUACUCCCCGUUGAGGAGGCCACAAAGGCCGGGUCUCUUUCAACCCUUCCCUCUCUCAAACGGUCCCUCGGACCGAGUGAGCUUCUCUUCUCAAAUCACAUGGGAAUCAAAACUUCCCGCAAGGACCACCACACACUUGGUGUCUCUUGCCUCAAUUACAAGUGAGUGUUUGAUCACAAGAAAGAAUGACAAAGAAAAGAAGCGAUCCAAGUGCAAGAGCUCAAAUGAACACUACAAAUCACUCUCACUAGUCACUAAGGCUUUGUGUGGAGUUGAGAGAGGAUUUGAUCCUUUUUGGUGUGCUUUGCAAUGAAUGAUAGCUCCUGUAUAGUGGUUGGAAGCUGGAAAACUUGGAUACAAUGAAUGGUGAGGUGGUUGGGGUAUUUAUAGCCUCAACCACCAAACUAGCCGUUUGCAGAGGCUGUCUGUUCGAUGGCGCACCGGACAGUCCGGUGCACACCGGACAUGUCCGGUGCGACAGCCACGUCACCAAAAGCCGUUGGGUUCGACCGUUGGAGCUCUGUCUUCUGGGCCCGCCUUGAUGUCCGGUGGCGCACCGGACAUGUACUGUAGAGUGUCCGGUGCGCCAGCAUGGGCGUGCCUGACCUCUGCGCGCGCUGGUGCACAUUUAUUACGUCGCAGGUAGCCGUUGGCGCCUGAAGUAGCCGUUACCCCGCUGUUGCACCGGACAGUCCGGUGUACACCGGACAGUCCGGUGAAUUAUAGCGGAGUGGCCGAAGUGAAUUCUCGAGACUGGCGAGUUCCGGAGGCCGCUCUUCCUUGGAGCACCGGACACUGUCCGGUGUACACCGGACAGUCCGAUGAAUUAUAGCGGAGUCGCCUCUGGAAUUUCCUGAAGGUGAGCAGUUCGGAGUUGGAGUCCUCUGGUGCACCGGACAUGUCCGGUGGCACACCGGACAGUCCGGUGCGCCAGACCAGAGGUGCCUUCGGUUGACCCUUGUUCCUUUGUUUGAACCCAAUACUUGGUCUUUUUAUUGGCUAAGUGUGAACCUUUGGCACCUGUAUAACUUAUAUACUUGAGCAAACUAGUUAGUCUAAAUAUUUGUGUUGGGCAAUUCAACCACCAAAAUUAAUUAGGGACUAGGUGUAAGCCUAAUUCCCUUUCAGAGCCAAAGCCGGAGGUAGCGGCGUCAGCACGGACAGAGGCAGAGUUGGCUCAAAAAGAGGAUUUGGUCGGUCGGAGCCUGGCCGGGUCGUCCACUGGCGGGACCGACGCCGGAGUUGAGUUACCGAGGCCACAAACCGAGCUGAUGUCCUCGGGGGACAGCUGGCUAAGGCUUCGGGGUGACCGGCCCGAGCCAUCUGCUCGAGUCGGAUUCCUGGAGAAGGCCCUGGCAGCGAUGGCCCGGGCGUGGUGCUGAUGUCGUCCUUCAGAGUGGAGAUCCUCCGACCGCGUCGCCGUCUGAGGCUAGGUCGGGCCUCGCCGAAGGUGUAGUUGACACCGAGGGUGCUGCUGCUCCCUUCACUGUCAAGAUCCGAGCCUGCAGGAUCGGAUUAUCUUGUAGUGUGUGUAUGUUUUCCGCGGCCGCCGAGGCCCAAACACACCAUCAUCGUGUUGUAAAGCUGCGUUUCUUUUCCCCUUAUUUCGAGUAUCUGGACUUAUUUAUCGGUAACAGAAUUUGUUUGUGCGAGCGAGAGUUACUUUUCACGGAAGGUGAUGAGUGAGGUAUCCGUAUCUCAGAGGCGUAGGAAUCCCUCGGCUCGGUCGGCCUUGCCGCUUACGCGCACUCUUACUCGUCCAUAGGGUUCUGUCACCGACGUAGUCGAGAAGGCCCGAAAAAUCAUUUCGGCAGAGGAGCUUUCGAGCGUGAAGACUUGUUCGGUCCGCGGAAUCACCUAUCCGAGCGCGAGUUACUUAUCGCAGAAGGUGAUGAGUGAGGUAUCCGUAUCCUGGAGGCGUAGGAGUCCCUCGGCUCGGUCAGCCUUGACUGCUUACGUGUACUCCGUCGUUUUCAGGAUCCACUUUCGGAGUAACCGAAAAGCACGAAAGACAUUCUGGCGGAAAAGAUCUUUUUCCGAGGAAAAUUUUGAUGCAGAGGGGGUUCCCCCCUUUUAGCCCCCGAGGGAGGGUCGGGCUUUGCCGAGGCAAGGCUGACCCUUCCUUGAUGACUAAACUUUGCGUGGGAACGAGGUAUACGAACAACUUGAAAGCAUCUUAAGGGUAGAAGUGACGUAGCUGUUGUAUGUUCCAAGCGUUGUUGUAGACCUCGCCUUGACUGUUGGCCAGCUUGUAUGUUCCGAGCUUCAGAACCUUGGUGACGACGAACGACCCUUCCCAGGGAGGCGUGAGCUUGUGCCGCCCUCGGGCGUCUUGUCGCAGCCGAAGCACCAGGUCGCCCACCUGAAGGUCUCGGGACCGAACCCCUCGGGCGUGGUAGCGUCGCAGGGACUGCUGGUACCGCGUCGAGUGUAGUAAGGCCAUGUCCUGAGCCUCUUCCAGCUGGUCCAGUGAGUCUUCUCGAUUAGCUUGAUUGCUUUGGUCAGCGUAGGCCCUCGUCCUCAGGGAACCGUAUUCUAAGUCUGUGGGCAAGACGGCUUUGGCCCCAUAGACUAGAAAGAACGGUGUGAAGCCCGUGGCUCGGCUCGGCGUUGUCCUCAAACUCCAGACCUCUGAGGGGAGUUCCUUCAUCCAUCGCUUGCCGAACUUGUUGAGGUCGUUGUAGAUCUGCGGCUUGAGUCCUUGCAGGAUCAUGCUGUUGGCACGCUCUACUUGCCCAUUCGUCAUGGGGUGAGCCACGGCGGCCCACUCUACCCGGAUGUGGUGAUCCUCGCAGAAGUCUAGGAACUUUCUGCCGGUGAACUGGGUGCCGUUGUCGGUGAUGAUGGAGUUCGGGACCCCAAAGCUGUGACAGAACCUCCCAAGUAAUUAGGCCCACCUACAGUUGUCCUUGUCCAACGGACAUCAGACAACCCUGUAGGUGCCCCUGAACUACUUGACAAGCUCGGUAUCUUUCCUUACCUUACCAGGAACGUCUCACCCGUCUUGCAGACAUUACAGAACAUCGGAGAUAUGCGGAAGCAGUUACAUAAACUUACAUUUAUUUCAAAAGCAAGCUUGAGUUAUGUUAUUACAGACCAGACUAAACGUGAGUGCAGAGUAGUAAUAUUAUACAAACCAGGGGAGGCACAAACUCCUCCCGAUAAGUUUAACAAAAGAUCCUAAGUGGAGGACCGAAUCCUCCCGCACUUCAGUCUUCUUUUUCCUCGUUUGAUACCACCUUGGAGCAGAAGCAACAAAAGUUUGUCGCUUCCUCACCUAAAAACAACAAAGGGAUAAACCCUGAGUAUGGAAUACUCAGCAAGUCUUACCCGACUAAGGAAAAGACUCUCAAGGGUAUGCUGGAUAAGUAGGAGUCAAGGAGAGGCUUUAGCAAAAAUCAACUUAUAGUUUUGCAGAAGAAGCUUACUAAAGUGAGUCCUUACUUUCCAUCUUUUAAUGCCAUCUUAAGUAUUAAUAGACUCUAUUUGCAUCUAGUCUAAUUUCACAUCCAAUCAAGACAACAUUAGUUUUAUCCAUAGUGUUCACAUCCUGACUGUAGGUUGUAGAAAAGUGACCAAGUCUUCAUAACCGCGAAGGUACGGCGAUCCGAAUCGAUUAUACUCAGCUGAGGAUCUCCAAUCACACGACAUAUGUAGCACUUAACCCUUGCAUAUGUCAACCCGCCACCGGGGUUCUUAAGACCGGAUCAGGUUCACGCAAACCGAGAGCACAGAUACACCACCGUCCAGCCUCUUGCCACGGAGGGUACACGCUACUCUCGCCACCGCUCCACGCCCAUUUCGUGUUAUCUUAUUCCGACCUUAGUCUGCCCGAGGCAAGGCUUACCCAUGACGAGGCAUGUGACCAGUUAAAGGGUCCUCGGUCAGCACGCCUACAUACGCGUUAAUCCUUAACCAACUUGGGUAGAACAUCACCUGUUCCUAACCCAAGUCUCAAUUUAAGUAUUUCCAUCCUUAGGAUUGUGUCUGUUCCUUAGGAUGAAAGAGCAUCACAGGGAACUUUGCAGUAAGAUCCCACUUUUGCUCCAAAUGAAAAUAUUCUUGCAGGUAGAAGCCAUCCUCUCCAUGGUUAAAUUGAGGACAACUUCUAUCCACAAGAUCUAAGCAAGUCUAAGCAUUUUUGUAAAUCAUAUUUUGAUACUUCACAGAAGUAUCUAUAAAGGUAUGGAUAUCAAGGAAAGCAAUGCAUCAAAGGGUUUCAAGUAACUCCUAUGAACCUAAUGCACAUUUCACUAGACUUAAGUGUGCAAAAAGUAUUUAAAAACACAAGGAAAGGGGUGGCAUGCACCGGGGCUUGCCUUCGUUCACAGGUGAAUCAGGCUCAGAUCCACAGAUGUCAAAGUAGAAAUGAUUCCCGGCCUAAGACUCCGAAGGUGGUGGUGUCUCCUCUUCGGUAACUUCGAUUUCUUCCUCACGUUCUAAUCAUAACCAUACAUAUGUAUAAGAAUGGAUGCCAUGGGAUGCUCAUGAGGAUGCAAAGAUAGCAUAAACUUAUUAUUUAUGUCUUGAAUACAACUUUCCUUCACGGAGUUCCGGAGUCGGUAAAGGAGUUCAUAGGGCGGGGGGGGGGGGGGUGUUUUGGGGUUUGGUGAUCAAACAAGGUCCAAAUCAAUUCAAACUCUACCCAAGGCUUCUAAAUAGUGUAUAACACUCAUAUAAAAAUUUUGGGCAUUUUUGGACUUACCAAUUAUUUUCUAAAAAUCUAUAACCAACAUUUUUAACCACUUUAAAUACCCUAAAUUUUCUUACUUCCACUAAAAAUCACAAACUUAUUUUUAUUAAAUACUAUGGAAAAUAACAAACCUAGGAAAAUUAGUCUCAUAUUUUUAGGAUUUUUCUAAAUUUUUCUAUAAUUAUUUUGGCUCUGCUGUAAAAGAAAAAAGGAAAAUAUUCCAACAGUGAUGGGCCAGAUUCAGCCCAGCGGCCCAGUUCCAGAGGGAAAGCGCGCCCGUGCGCCCUGACGGUUUUGCAGAACGACCCCCGCGUUUUUAUCUAACAGCGAACGAGCCCUUUCACUAUUCCUGUGUGUCGCUGACCGAUCACAAAAAGGCCCCUGCGUUUCUUUCUAUUUCCGAUUGGAAGUCCACGACAGCGCUCGCGCACCGCCGUGCUCCGACGAGCAAGCAGAUCGGCCAGAAGGGACAACGGCUAGGGUUUUUGAGCAGCAGACACCAAAUUCAAGUCCUAAGGACUCUUUCCCCCCAAUCAAUUUCAUGCUUGGUGAUCUGCCAAGCUCUACCCGCGAGGACAGUGCACGGCGCGGAUAGGUGUUCGUGUUCCAAUCAAUUCAUGGCAGUUAAAUUCAAUUGGAUGGUUUGGAAAGCAUCAAGGACACACGAGAAUGUUAGAACAAGCAACAGAGCAACAUGAACUGACCUAAUUUGGGCUGGCCACGGUGAGACUUGUUUCACGGUGGCGGAGAGCGAGGUUGGGGGAAAUUCCGAAUUCGAGCAGAUGAGUGGAUGAUUGUGGCUGAUUAGCGGUGGUUAGCUAGCGAACUACCCCACGGAGCUAGACACGGGCUCAAUUUAUAGGAAGGAUGGGCGGUGGGCGCGAAUUUGGACGAGACACGCGGCGGUCGGAGGUGAAGAAGAAGCACUGGCCGCGUGAGUUCGUGGCCAACGGCGUGGCAGUAACUCCGGUGAGCCACGGAGACUUCAGAGGAGGUCACGGCGACACGGUAAAAGAGUUGAGCCACGCGGCGCACGGCCGGGAGGCGGCGGUCGACGGUGAACAUAUCCACAUCCACCGCGGUAAUGAUGGUACGGUGGCCGGAGUUGUUUAAUGGCCGAAGUUUAUCCCCGGCGGUGACCUCCAAGCGUUAUCCACACGGUCCGCACGAAUCACAGCAACGGAUCGACCACCGGCGACGACCUACCAGCGACGAGCCCGCCGCGCUGGCAACCUGAUCCACUCGGGUCUACUAGUACCAUGGCAAUCCUCAUUCAGAGCACCUGACAGCCGGAGUUGAGGGUCGAUUUUCUCCAAAUUUCACUUGGCGACUCACCCAAGUAUCUGCAUCAAAGUUGUAGUGCUACUUACCAACUACAAUUCGACUAUAGGGGCUACACUUAUUUGAGCACUGGAUCAAGGUCAAACUGGCUCUCAAACUUGGGUCUAGGCCACUGUUAGUCUGAAAUUCAGACAAUACUAGCCUGACAGCCUGACUUCAGGCUUAAUUACCUCCAAAAUUUUCUUAACAACUGUGCUCACACCUUUUAGCAAAGUUGUACUCCUAUAGUUGGGCUACAAUCUUGAUGUGGUGACCUAGGGCAAAAACCCUAUAAUUUGAAAGUGACAAAGCCCCAAAGUGGAGCCUUUAACACUAAAUUUCAGACUUGGUAUAGAACUCAAAUGAGGUCCAUUUUGCAUUUAAGUCCAAAACUUAGGGUUUGGCUUGUAAAUUCACAUAUUUGUGAACCAAAUGACUUUAUAUGUCAAAACAUAGUAGUUUUUACACUUUAGUCCAAAGGUUCAUCAUUUUUGCACAUAAGUCCCUAGGGUUUGGUUUUAGGGUUUUCUAGGGUUCCAAUUAGGGUUUCUGGUAUCUCAGGGGUACAAAAGUGAUUCAAGUUUAUUCUUAGGGUCAUUUUAUGACUUUUACCCUAAAGCUUUUUAGGUUUUCUUAACUUGGGUUAAGUUUUACCCCUUUAACCACUAUUUAGGGUUAAGUCCAUUAACCAGGGUUCCAUUUGCAAAAACAUUAAAACAAUACAACUUGUUUGAAAUUUUUGCCUAGUGAAUGCACUCUAGGUGUGUCACACAUAUGCAAUGCCAAUGCUAAUGAUGUCAUGCUCAAGUUUUAUUUAUAGUAACACCAGGGGUGUUACAUCCUUCCCCCCAUAAAAGAAUCUCGUCCCGAGAUUAAAAUCCUAGGGUAGGUAAUGGUAAAGGAAACACAUCACAUUUUUAUUUCCUUAAUUUUGGUACAAGGCAGGGGUAAUGUGGGGGUUACUUCUUUAUUACAACAGCUAUACAGGCUUUACAAUUUACAUGAGGCUAGAAAGCCUGGGAAAUUCUUAUCUAAAAAGUCUUGGGUUUCCCAUGUAGCCUCAUCUUCCGAAUGCUGGUUCCACUGUAUCUUGUAGAACUUAAGAGUCUUUCUUCGGGUGACCCUAUCCUUUUGAUCCAGAACUCGAAUAGGAUGCUCCGAGUAUGUUAAAUCUGGUUCCAGGACAACAUCAGUCACUUCAACGGUUCGAUCGGGAACCCGAAGACACUUCUUCAAUUGUGACACGUGGAACACAUUAUGCACAGUAGACAAGGUUUCGGGGAGCUGAAGUCGGUAUGCCACUGGUUCACAUUGCUCAAGCACCAGGAAUGGACCAAUGUAUCUGGGUGCAAGUUUCCCUUUUACCCCGAAACGCGAUACACCCUUCAUUGGUGAAACUUUUAAGUAGACAUAAUCGUCUACCAGAAAGCAUAAGGGUUGUCGUCGUCGGUCUGCAUAAUUCUUUUGUCGAGUCUGAGCUUUCUUCAUAUUAUGGAUAAUUCUCUGAACCUUUUCUUCGACCUCUUUCACCAUAUCAGGUCUAAAGAAGUAUCUUUCUCCAGGUUCAGACCAAUUUAGCGGAGUUCGACACCGUCGUCCAUAUAAAGCUUCAAAAGGUGCCAUCUUGAUACUUUCUUGAUAACUAUUAUUGUAUGAAAACUCCGCUAGGGGCAAACAUUCAUCCCAUUUUUGCGAGAAGUCCAGGACACAUGCCCGCAGCAUAUCUUCAAGUAUUUGGUUCACCCUCUCAGUCUGCCCACUGGUUUGAGGAUGAUAAGCCGAACUGUGGAGUAAUUUAGUACCCAAGGAGUUGUGAAGUGCUUCCCAGAACUUGGCUACAAAUUGAGGUCCACGAUCCGACACAAUGGUCUUCGGAACACCAUGCAGACUGAGAAUACAGGCAAUGUAUAAUGCUGCAUAAGUGGCUACUGUAUAUGUGACCUUGACAGGUAAGAAGUGGGCAAUCUUUGUGAGUCGAUCAACGAUAACCCAAAUAGAAUCAUACCCUUUGGCUGUCCUGGGCAGUCCCACAAUAAAGUCCAUACUGAUGUCUUCCCAUUUCCAUGUUGGGAUUGGCAAAGAUUGUAAUGGACCAGCAGUUUUCAUGUGUAUGGCCUUGACACGUCUGCAAGUGUCACACUUCGCCACAUAGCGUGCAAUUUCGAUUUUCAUCUUUGUCCACCAAUAAUGUUGCUUUAAGUCUUGAUACAUCUUAGUGCUUCCGGGAUGAAUAGAAUAGCGACUAAGAUGUGCCUCAUCAAGAAUUUGCUGGCGGAGUUCUUCGUUCUUUGGCACUACUAUGCGGUUUUUAAACCAUAUCACACCUUGAUCGUCUUCCUUGAAACACUUGGCUACUCCAGCCUUUAUCUUCUCUCGAAUGUGCUUCAUACCCAGAUUAUCCUUUUGAGCAUCAAUUAUUCUUUGCAAAAUGAUUGACUCAAGCUUUAGUUGAUUUAGAGUCCCUUGUUGGAUGAUCCCUAGGUUUAGCUUUUCCAUUUCUUGACACAAAGUGUUCUCGGAGGUCUUUGCCAUAAGACAGUGGCAGGAAGUCUUACGACUCAAUGCAUCUGCCACCACAUUGGCCUUGCCUGGGUGAUAAUGGAUCUCCAGUUCAUAGUCUUUAAUGAGCUCAAGCCAUCGUCUUUGCCUCAUAUUUAACUCUGACUGGGUGAAGAUGUACUUCAAACUUUUAUGAUCUGUAUAUAUGUGACAGAUAUUUCCCAGCAGAUAGUGACGCCAAAUCUUUAGGGCAUGAACCACAGCAGCUAGCUCCAGAUCAUGAGUUGGAUAGUGCUCCUCAUGUCGGCGCAACUGCCUUGAAGCAUACGCAAUCACUCGGUCCUCUUGCAUCAGUACACAGCCGAGCCCACUGCCAGAUGCAUCACAAUAUACGUCAAAAGGUUUAGUGAUGUCCGGUUGAGCCAAUACCGGAGCAGUGGUCAAUAGUGUCUUCAGUUGCUCAAAGGCUUCAUUACACUUAGAAGACCAAUUGAACUUAAUGUCAUUCUUCAAUAAACUUGUGAUUGGCUUCACAAGCUUAGAGAAAUCUGGUAUGAAUCUGCGAUAAUACCCAGCUAGUCCAAGAAAACUCCGGACUUGGUGAACAGUGGUUGGAGGUUUCCACUCCAGAAUAUCUUUGACCUUGCUAGGAUCUACCGCAAUUCCUUUAGCUGAUAACACGUGCCCCAAAAAUUGAAUUUCUUCCAGCCAGAACGCGCACUUGCUGAACUUGGCAUAUAGUUGGUGUUCCCUUAGGCGCGUCAAUACAAUCCGUAAAUGCUGAGCAUGGUCUUCUUCAUUCUUGGAAUAUAUCAAGAUAUCGUCGAUGAAGACUACCACGAACUUGUCCAAUUCGGGCAUGAACACCGAGUUCAUUAAAUAAGUGAAGUGGGCAGGAGCAUUUGUGAGCCCGAAAGACAUUACCAAGUAUUCAAACAAUCCAUACCGCGUAGUAAACGCGGUUUUCGGUAUAUCCUCGGGCCGAAUACGGAUUUGAUGAUAGCCCGACCUGAGAUCAAUUUUGGAAAAUACCCUCGCCCCAGUCAGCUGAUCAAAUAAGAUGUCGAUCCUUGGAAGAGGGUACUUAUUCUUGAUAGUGACCUCAUUUAGGGGUCGAUAAUCCACGCACAUUCGCAAGGUUUGAUCCUUCUUCUUAACAAAAAUGGCGGGACAACCCCACGGGGACGAGCUUGGCCGGAUGAAUCCCUUAUUCAAUAGAUCUUGUAAUUGAAUCUUUAAUUCCGCCAAUUCAUUAGGGGGCAUACGGUACGACCUUCGGGAGAUGGGAGCCGUACCGGGCUUUAGCUCAAUUACGAAUUCUACAUCUCUUUUAGGGGGCAGUCCAGGCAAAUCUUCCGGAAAUACAUCUGGAAACUCACAUACUACCGGAAUGUUCUUGAUCUCUGGUACAAUGGCUUCAUAGACUCUACCAGAAGUUUUGGCUGGAUUGGUUGCGGGGAGAGUCAAAAGAAUCUCUUCUUGGUUAUAGCUCAACCUGACGGUCCUGAGUUCAGUGUUGAGAAUUGCCUUGUGUUGGGUUAACCAAUUCAUACCCAAGAUUACAUCUAUAUCCUGGCCCUUCAGAACAAUCAUGUUAGCAGGAAAGUUCCGUCCGGCCAUUGUUAUUGGCACUCCAUAGGCCACUUCUUUAGUAUAAAUGUGUCCCCCAGGUGAAUGAAUUUUAAAUCCCUCCUUUGAUUCAUGGUAUGCAAUAUGAUAUUGUUCCACAAACUUCUUGCUAAUAAAUGUAUGUGAAGCACCAGAAUCAAAAAGAAUAAUUGCUGGGUGACUGGCCACGGGAAACGUACCCAUCAUCACCGGCUCUCCUUCCGGUGUAGUAGCCACUUGAGUGUAAUAUAUACGCCCUGUCUUCUUCGUAUUUUUCCCCAUAGCAUUUCCUUUAGGCUGAGCUAAUUUCCCAGAUCCUUGCGAAGCAUUAGAUUGAUUUUGCCUAGGAUAUGGGCAGUCUUUGAUGAAGUGUCCCGACUUGCCGCAAUUAAAACACCCAGUUGAAGAACUAGGCAAGGCAGGAAAUCAAGUGCCUAGGGCACCCGGCUGUUUUGGGGUAGUGGGGGCAUUGUUGGGGCGGAUAAUGAUUGGCUGUUUGAAGGGAAAUGAAGGUGGACGAGAAAAAGGGCGAUUUUGGCUUGAAGGUCGGAUCACAAACCGUGGUUUCUUCGCCUGGCCCUGACUAGGCCUCUCACCACCGAAUCCCUUAUUCUUCCCAGAAUUUGUGUAUUUGGCUUCAACAGAUAAGGCUGUGCUGACAGCCUUUCCAUACGUGAGAUCUAUGCAUGUGGCCAUUUUCCUUUGUAGCCGAUCAUUCAGUCCCCGCAUAAAACAGUUCUUCUUCUUUAAAUCCGUAUUCACCUGGUCAAUGGCAUACUGCGAUAGGUGAUUGAAUUUGUUGAGAUAUUGGUUGACGGUAUCUCCACCUUGUUGUAACUUCAUAAACUCCUCUUGUUUCAUAUGUAGCACUCCUUCGGGGAUGUAGUGUUCACGGAAGGCUGCUUUAAACUCAUCCCAAGUGACUUGAUGGUUGACAGGUUGGAUAGCCACAAAAUUUCCCCACCAGGUACUGGCAGGACCACGGAGUUGUUGUGCGGCGAAUAACGGCUUCUGCGUUUCUGAGCAACGGAGAAGACCAAACUUUUGCUCAAUAACCCGAAUCCACUCGUCAGCUUCUAGGGGAUCUUCUGCCUUGACGAAUAGAGGUGGACGGGUUUCCGAGAAAUCCAGAUAGGUGGUCUCAUGAGGGCCUUGCGGAAAACCCCUUCCUGCUUGCUGCUGGAAUUGCUGCUGACCCGCCAUUUCCCUAAGGAAGCGGGUAUUGUCCGCGGUGGCAUUCACCAAGGCGGCGAUCGCCUCGGCUAACGUGGGAGGAACUGGAGGUGGGUUUGGGGUAACAUCCCGUCCCCCAGAAGUUCCUGCUGCGUCCUGUCCUCGAGUCCUGGUCGGCAUCUGUGGCAAAAACAUUUGAAGUAAACAAAAUGUGCCAGAGAAAACCUUCCAUUAUACAUUACUAUAAAAAGUAAUGAUACAGACUCGAUAUUACAUAACAGGAUACAAUACCCAUUAUACAAAAGUUCAACCUAUUAUACAACAGUACACCCUACAAUACCCUACCAUACACUACUCUACUUCUAUUACACCUUUAUUCCUUCUUGCCAUUACUCUUGGCGGCUUCAUCGUCAGGUGUGGGAGUCCAGACAUCAACCAACCUCAAAGAAGGAGGGGGCUCAAAAAGGUCUAACUCCCCACCCAGCGCACGUCCCGCAACGUGAGAUGGUCCAGCUUCCGCCUCAGCAGGUUGUGCAGGCUCACUUGGGUGUAGUUGUGAGUAUAGUAUAUGGACUUCCUCGUGCAACGUGUUGCAGUAAACCUGCAGGUUAUCAACAGUCGAGCUAAGUUCUUUAACUCGGGCCUGAGCCCUUGUUUCCUUAGCACACAUUAGCAAACGAGACUGUACGGCCCAGUCAAGUGCUAAGUCUCGAUCAGCGAGUUGAUCCUGCAAGUGUCGGAUGUCCCUUCUCAGUUCGUUGAUUCUAUCUCCGUCGGCGACCCAAGCAUCAGUCCUAUGUUGCAGCACCGCUUGAAGUCGACUCACCCGGGCUUCAAGGUCUCCGAUGGGGUCGUUACUUCCACUGCUGCUGCUUUCAUGUCGGGGAGCCAAUUGAUGCCGAGGCACCCCAAUUGGUCCCGUAGACUUGCGUGCCGUUAGCCUGGUGCGUGGCGGCAUCUUUUCUAAGGGGGAAAAUGUUAUUAGUAAGAUUCUUAGCAUGAUGCAUGUAUAAUUACAGAAUCAACCUUAGUCAAUUCAACCUUCUAUAUGUUGCACUCUUCCUAUCUGGUCUUUAAAAUAGACUCUUCAGAAUACUUAGGUAAGAAGAGAAAAGAAUUUUUAGGUAAGACUUUUGAAAAUCCUUUUGAAGAUGCCUCAUAAUAUCUGCAAAGAAGGGCUACGCUCCGAUACCAGCUGUGACAGAACCUCCCAAGUAAUUAGGCCCACCUACAGUUGUCCUUGUCCAACGGACAUCAGACAACCCUGUAGGUGCCCCUGAACUACUUGACAAGCUCGGUAUCUUUCCUUACCUUACCAGGAACGUCUCACCCGUCUUGCAGACAUUACAGAACAUCGGAGAUAUGCGGAAGCAGUUACAUAAACUUACAUUUAUUUCAAAAGCAAGCUUGAGUUAUGUUAUUACAGACCAGACUAAACGUGAGUGCAGAGUAGUAAUAUUAUACAAACCAGGGGAGGCACAAACUCCUCCCGAUAAGUUUAACAAAAGAUCCUAAGUGGAGGACCGAAUCCUCCCGCACUUCAGUCUUCUUUUUCCUCGUUUGAUACCACCUUGGAGCAGAAGCAACAAAAGUUUGUCGCUUCCUCACCUAAAAACAACAAAGGGAUAAACCCUGAGUAUGGAAUACUCAGCAAGUCUUACCCGACUAAGGAAAAGACUCUCAAGGGUAUGCUGGAUAAGUAGGAGUCAAGGAGAGGCUUUAGCAAAAAUCAACUUAUAGUUUUGCAGAAGAAGCUUACUAAAGUGAGUCCUUACUUUCCAUCUUUUAAUGCCAUCUUAAGUAUUAAUAGACUCUAUUUGCAUCUAGUCUAAUUUCACAUCCAAUCAAGACAACAUUAGUUUUAUCCAUAGUGUUCACAUCCUGACUGUAGGUUGUAGAAAAGUGACCAAGUCUUCAUAACCGCGAAGGUACGGCGAUCCGAAUCGAUUAUACUCAGCUGAGGAUCUCCAAUCACACGACAUAUGUAGCACUUAACCCUUGCAUAUGUCAACCCGCCACCGGGGUUCUUAAGACCGGAUCAGGUUCAUGCAAACCGAGAGCACAGAUACACCACCGUCCAGCCUCUUGCCACGGAGGGUACACGCUACUCUCGCCACCGCUCCACGCCCAUUUCGUGUUAUCUUAUUCCGGCCUUAGUCUGCCCGAGGCAAGGCUUACCCAUGACGAGGCAUGUGACCAGUUAAAGGGUCCUCGGUCAGCACGCCUACAUACGCGUUAAUCCUUAACCAACUUGGGUAGAACAUCACCUGUUCCUAACCCAAGUCUCAAUUUAAGUAUUUCCAUCCUUAGGAUUGUGUCUGUUCCUUAGAAUGAAAGAGCAUCACAGGGAACUUUGCAGUAAGAUCCCACUUUUGCUCCAAAUGAAAAUAUUCUUGCAGGUAGAAGCCAUCCUCUCCAUGGUUAAAUUGAGGACAACUUCUAUCCACAAGAUCUAAGCAAGUCUAAGCAUUUUUGUAAAUCAUAUUUUGAUACUUCACAGAAGUAUCUAUAAAGGUAUGGAUAUCAAGGAAAGCAAUGCAUCAAAGGGUUUCAAGUAACUCCUAUGAACCUAAUGCACAUUUCACUAGACUUAAGUGUGCAAAAAGUAUUUAAAAACAUAAGGAAAGGGGUGGCAUGCACCGGGGCUUGCCUUCGUUCACAGGUGAAUCAGGCUCAGAUCCACAGAUGUCAAAGUAGAAAUGAUUCCCGGCCUGAGACUCCGAAGGUGGUGGUGUCUCCUCUUCGGUAACUUCGAUUUCUUCCUCACGUUCUAAUCAUAACCAUACAUAUGUAUAAGAAUGGAUGCCAUGGGAUGCUCAUGAGGAUGCAAAGAUAGCAUAAACUUAUUAUUUAUGUCUUGAAUACAACUUUCCUUCACGGAGUUCCGGGAACUUAGGGUUUCCGGAGUCGGUAAAGGAGUUCAUAGGGCGGGGGGGGGGGGGGGGGGUGUUUUGGGGUUUGGUGAUCAAACAAGGUCCAAAUCAAUUCAAACUCUACCCAAGGCUUCUAAAUAGUGUAUAACACUCAUAUAAAAAUUUUGGGCAUUUUUGGACUUACCAAUUAUUUUCUAAAAAUCUAUAACCAACAUUUUUAACCACUUUAAAUACCCUAAAAUUUCUUACUUCCACUAAAAAUCACAAACUUAUUUUUAUUAAAUACUAUGGAAAAUAACAGACCUAGGAAAAUUAGUCUCAUAUUUUUAGGAUUUUUCUACAUUUUUCUAUAAUUGUUUUGGCUCUGCUGUAAAAGAAAAAAGGAAAAUAUUCCAACAGUGAUGGGCCAGAUUCAGCUCAGCGGCCCAGUUCCAGAGGGAAAGCGCGCCCGCGCGCCCUGACGGUUUUGCAGAACGACCCCCGCGUUUUUAUCUAACAGCGAACGAGCCCUUUCACUAUUCCUGUGUGUCGCUGACCGAUCACAAAAAGGCCCCUGCGUUUCUUUCUAUUUCCGAUUGGAAGUCCACGACGGCGCUCGCGCACCGCCGUGCUCCGACGAGCAAGCAGAUCGGCCAGAAGGGACAACGGCUAGGGUUUUUGAGCAGCAGACACCAAAUUCAAGUCCUAAGGACUCUUUCCCCCCAAUCAAUUUCAUGCUUGGUGAUCUGCCAAGCUCUGCCCGCGAGGACAAUGCACGGCGCGGAUAGGUGUUCGUGUUCCAAUCAAUUCAUGGCAGUUAAAUUCAAUUGGAUGGUUUGGAAAGCAUCAAGGACACACGAGAAUGUUAGAACAAGCAACAGAGCAACAUGAACUGACCUAAUUUGGGCUGGCCACGGUGAGACUUGUUUCACGGUGGCGGAGAGCGAGGUUGGGGGAAAUUCCGAAUUCGAGCAGAUGAGUGGAUGAUUGUGGCUGAUUAGCGGUGGUUAGCUAGCGAACUACCCCACGGAGCUGGACACGGGCUCAAUUUAUAGGAAGGAUGGGCGGUGGUCGCGAAUUUGGACGAGACACGCGGCGGUCGGAGGUGAAGAAGAAGCACUGGCCGCGUGAGUUCGUGGCCAACGGCGUGGCAGUAACUCCGGUGAGCCACGGAGACUUCAGAGGAGGUCACGGCGACACGGUAAAAGAGUUGAGCCACGCGGCGCACGGCCGGGAGGCGGCGGUCGACGGUGAACAUAUCCACAUCCGCCGCGGUAACGAUGGUACGGUGGCCGGAGUUGUUUAAUGGCUGAAGUUUAUCCCCGGCGGUGACCUCCAAGCGUUAUCCACACGGUCCGCACGAAUCACAGCAACGGAUCGACCACCGGCGACGACCUACCAGCGACGAGCCCGCCGCGCUGGCAACCUGAUCCACUCGGGUCUACUGUACCAUGGCAAUCCUCAUUCAGAGCACCUGACAGCCGGAGUUGAGGGUCGAUUUUCUCCAAAUUUCACUUGGCGACUCACCCAAGUAUCUGCAUCAAAGUUGUAGUGCUACUUACCAACUACAAUUCGACUAUAGGGGCUACACUUAUUUGAGCACUGGAUCAAGGUCAAACUGGCUCUCAAACUUGGGUCUAGGCCACUGUUAGUCUGAAAUUCAGACAAUACUAGCCCGACAGCCUGACUUCAGGCUUAAUUACCUCCAAAAUUUUCUUAACAACUGUGCUCACACCUUUUAGCAAAGUUGUACUCCUAUAGUUGGGCUACAAUCUUGAUGUGGUGACCUAGGGCAAAAACCCUAUAAUUUGAAAGUGACAAAGCCCCAAAGUGGAGCCUUUAACACUAAAUUUCAGACUUGGUAUAGAACUCAAAUGAGGUCCAUUUUGCAUUUAAGUCCAAAACUUAGGGUUUGGCUUGUAAAUUCACAUAUUUGUGAACCAAAUGACUUUAUAUGUCAAAACAUAGUAGUUUUUACACUUUAGUCCAAAGGUUCAUCAUUUUUGCACAUAAGUCCCUAGGGUUUGGUUUUAGGGUUUUCUAGGGUUCCAAUUAGGGUUUCUGGUAUCCCAGGGGUACAAAAGUGAUUCAAGUUUAUUCUUAGGGUCAUUUUAUGACUUUUACCCUAAAGCUUUUUAGGUUUUCUUAACUUGGGUUAAGUUUUACCCCUUUAACCACUAUUUAGGGUUAAGUCCAUUAACCAGGGUUCCAUUUGCAAAAACAUUAAAACAAUACAACUUGUUUGAAAUUUUUGCCUAGUGAAUGCACUCUAGGUGUGUCACACAUAUGCAAUGCCAAUGCUUAUGAUGUCAUGCUCAAGUUUUAGUUAUAGUAACACCAGGGGUGUUACAAAAGCGAUGGAUGAUGUUGGUGAAGAACGCCACUGCCUGUUCGGACCUGAUGCUGUUUAGGGGUCGGACCUCGAUCCACUUGGAGAAUUUGUCGAUGGUGACCAACAGGUGCGUGUAGCCCCCGGGUGCCUUCUGCAAGGGGCCGACGAGGUCCAGACCCCACACAGCAAAAGGCCAGGUGAUGGGUAUCGUCUGUAGGGCCUGAGCGGGCAGGUGGGUCUGCCUUGCGUAGAACUGACACCCUUCGCAGGUGCGGACAAUUCUUGUGGCGUCGGCCACCGCCGUCGGCCAGUAGAAACCUUGUCGGAAGGCGUUUCCAACAAGGGCUCGAGGUGCUGCGUGAUGGCCGCAAGCCCCCGAGUGUAUCUCUUGUAGGAGCUCCUCAGACCAAACGGCAUGGUAACAUAGCAGUACAUGCCGAAGGGUGUGAUGAAAGAAUUCGCGAGCUGGUCAGACUCUUUCAUCUUGAUCUGGUGAUACCUCGAGUAGGCAUCGAGGAAAGACAGGGUUUCGCACCCAGUAGUGGAAUCCACGAUUUGAUCGAUGCGAGGCAGAGGGUAGGGAACUUUCGGACAUGCUUUGUUUAGACCAGUGUAGUCUACACACAUCCGCCAUUUCCCUCCUUUCUUUCUCACAAGCAGAGGGUUGGCAAGCCAUUCGGGAUGGAAUACCUCUUUGAUGAACACUGCCGCCAUUAGCUUGUGGAUCUCCUCGCCUAUAGCUCUGCGCUUUUCUUCGUCGAAUCGGCGCAGAGGCUGCUUCACGGGUCGGGCUCCAGCUCGGAUAUCCAGUGAGUGCUCGGCGACAUCCCUCGGUAUGCCGGGCAUGUCCGAGGGACUCCACGCGAAAACGUCGGCGUUUGCGCGGAGAAAGUCGACGAGCACUGCUUCCUAUUUGGGAUCGAGCUCGGAGCCGAUCCGGAUUUGCUUGGAGGCGUCGUUGCUGGGGUCGAGAGGGACGGAUUUAACCGUUUCCGCUGGCUCGAAGUUGUCGGCGUGGCGCUUCACGUCUGGCACCUCCUUAGAGAGGCUCUCCAGGUCGGCGAUGAGGGCCUCGGAUUCGGCGAGGGCCUUGGCGUACUCCACGCACUCCAUGUCGCAUUCGUACGCGUGUCGGUACAUGGGGCCGACGGUGAUGACCCCGUUGGGGCCCGACAUCUUGAGCUUGAGGUAGGUGUAGUUGGGGACGACCAUGAACUUGGCGUAGCAUGGCCUCCCCAGCACUGCGUGGUAGGUUCCUCGAAACCCGACCACCUCGAACGUGAGGGUCUCCCUUCGGAAGUUGGAGGGCGUCCCAAAGCAGACGGGUAGAUCGAGUUGUCCGAGGGGAUGGACGCGUUUCCCGGGGAUGAUCCCAUGAAAAGGCGCAGCGCCUGCCCGGACCGAGGAUAGAUCAAUCCACAGGAGCCCGCGGGUCUCGGCGUAGAUGAUGUUGAGGCUGCUGCCUCCGUCCAUGAGGACCUUGGUGAGCCUGACGUUGCCGAUGACGGGGUCGACAACGAGCGGGUAUUUCCCCGGGCUCGGCACACGGUCAGGAUGGUCGCCCUAGUCGAAGGUGAUGGGCUUGUCGGACCAGUGUAGGUAGACUAGCGCCACCACCUUUACCGAGCAGACCUCCCGACGCUCUUGCUUGCGGUGCCGAGCUGAGGUGUUCGCCACUCGCCCACCAUAGAUCAUGUAGCAGUCGUGGACCUCGGGGAACUCUCCUGCCUUGUGAUCUUCCUUCUUAUCGUCGUCGCGAGCCCUGCCACCCUCUGCGGGUGGCCCGACCUUAUGAAAGUGGCGCCGAAGCAUGGCGCACUCCUCGAGGGUGUGCUUGACGGGCCCCUGAUGAUAGGGGCACGGCUCCUUGAGCAUCUUGUCGAAGAGGUUGGCACCUCCGGGAGGUUUCCGAGGGUUUUUGUACUCGGCGGCGGCGACAAGGUCCGCGUCGGCGGCGUCACGUUUCGCUUGUGACUUCUUCUUGCCUUUCUUCUUGGCUCCGCGCUGGGUUGACGCCUCGGGGACAUCUUCCGGUGGGCGGCCCUGGGGCUGCUUGUCCUUCCGGAAGAUGGCCUCAAUCGCCUCCUGGCCAGAGGCGAACUUGGUGGCGAUGUCCAUCAGCUCGCUCGCCCUAGUGGGGGUCUUGCGACCCAGCUUGCUCACCAGGUCGCGGCAGGUGGUGCCGGCGAGGAACGCGCCGAUGACAUCCGAAUCGGUGAUGUUGGGCAGCUCGGUGCGCUGCUUCGAGAAUCGCCGGAUGUAGUCCCGGAGAGACUCUCCCAGCUGCUGUCAGCAGCUUCGGAGAUUCCAGGAGUUUCCAGGGCGCACGUAUGUGCCCUGGAAGUUGCCGGCGAAGGCUUGGACCAGGUCGUCCCAGUUGGAGAUCUGCCCCGGAGGCAGGUGCUCCAACCAGGCCCGAGCGGUAUCAGAGAGGAACAGGGGGAGGUUGCGGAUGAUGAGGUUGUCAUCGUCCGUUCCACCCAGUUGGCAGGCCAGCCGGUAGUCCGCGAGCCACAGUUCCAGUCUCGUCUCCCCCGAGUACUUUGUGAUAGUAGUCGGGGUUCGGAACCGAGUCAGGAACGGCGCCCGUCGUAUGGCACGGCUGAAAGCCUGUGGACCGGGUGGUUCGGGCGAGGGACUCCAAUCCUCCCCGCUGUCGUAGCGUCCCCCAUGCCUGGGGUGGUAGCCUCGGCGCACCCUCUCGUCGAGGUGGGCCCGACGGUUGCGGUGAUGGUGCUCGUUGCCGAGGCGACCCGGGGCCACAGGCGUUGUGUUGCGCGUGCGCCCGGUGUGGACCGAGGCUUCCCGCAUGAAUCGGGAAGUCGCGACGCGAUGUUCCGAGGGGCGCCCCUGCCUUCGGGAGGCGGAGCUUUCGGCCUGUCGGACCGCGGCGUCCUCCAGGAGAUUCUUGAGCUCUCCCUGGAUACGUCGCCCCUCGGUGGUUGAUGGCUCCGGCAUCGCGCGGAGAAGUAUUGCCGCUGCAGCCAGGUUCUGGCCGACUCCGCUGGAAGUGGGUGGCGGCCUUACCCUGACGUCGUCGGCGAUGCGAUGCUGGAAGCCCUGGGGGAGAUGACGCGCUUCUCCGGGCGGAGGUUGGCCCGUCCAUUCCUGCCCGAGCUCAAGUGUUCCUGCUCCCCCGUCGUCGGCUCAAGUGUUCCUGCUCCCCCGUCGAGCCUGGCCUGCAUCUCGCGGAUUUGCUCAAGCUGUGGGUCAGGACCCCCCGCCGGGACGGGGACCACAGCUAGCUCCCGAAGGAUGUCAACACGAGGUACAGGCCUAGGGAGAUCACCGUUCUCCGACAUACCAAGAUGGUUGCCUUCGUCGGGAUCCCCUAGAUCGAUGUGGAAACAUUCACGACUUGGGCCACAGUCCUCGUUGCCGAGGCUGCGGCUACCGUCGGAACAAUCAGAAAGGCAAUAGUCGCACGCGGUCAUAAAGUCCCGCAUGGCACUGGGGUUACCAAGUCCAGAGAAAUCCCAACAGAAGUCGAGCUCGUCAUCUUCCUCGGACCCCGAGGGCCCGUAGGUCGAGACGACCGUCAGCCGGUCCCAGGGUGACCGCAUACGACACCCCAGAGGGUUUGGACUCGCCUCUAUGAGAGCGUCCACCGAAGCGAAGUCGCUUGGUGGGUCGAGGCUGAAUCCAAAAGGCGCGAGAUGGGAAUCGGUCGGUACCUCUUGGUCGACGGGCGGUGACGAAGUCACGUCAGGGACUGACCGCACCGUCGUCUCAGGUACAAGGGUGACGCCCAGCAAGUCCUUCGCGAGCGUGCUGGCGUCGUCCGUUUGCUUGGGGUUGGCGUGUUGCGGGGAGACGACGCUCGUCUUCGUCUCAGACGCGAGGUCGGUGCUCGACGUGCCCCCCGCUGAGGCGCCGGCGCCGUCAACUCGCUCGACAGCCGACGAGGUGCCGCCUCCUGCUUGGCCUUGGUUGCCCCGCCCCCUCCUCCGUCGGUGGGGGAGGGGACGGGACAAGCCCGAAUGUUGUUCUUCCACCACGCGGGGAAGGCGUCGUCGAUUCCGCCGCCGGCGGGCGGGCUGUCGGCCGCCAUUGUCGCUGUCGCGCGGCGGGGGAAGAAGUAUCAUGUCGUAGCUGCCGUCGUGGGACAUGAACUCAAGACUCCCGAAACGGAGCACCGUCCCGGGCUGGAAAGGUUGCUGGAGACUGCCCAUCUGGAGCUUGACGGGAAGCUGUUCGUCAACACGCAAUAGGCCCCUACCUGGCGCGCCAACUGUCGGUGUUUCGAACCCGGGGGGUCCCUGGACCGAUGAGUAAAUUAUCGCCGCGUGCCCCAGCCCAGAUGGGUCGGCGCGAGACGGAGCGCGAAGGGGGGAAGCAGCCGGAGGGAGACAGGCGUGAGAGGUGAAAUCCCGCGGCCUUCGUGUUUGUCCCGCGCCCAGGUCGGGUGCGCUUGCAGUAGGGGGUUACAAGCGUCCACGCGGGAGGGAGCGAGCGGCCCUGCGCGAGCGCCGUCCCGUCCUUCCCCGCGCGACCAACUGAUAGUCGCCUAGAGGGGGGGGGGUGAAUAGGGCGAAACUGAAAUUUACAAAUAUAAACACAACUACAAGCCUGGUUAGCGUUAGAGAUAAUAACGAGUCCGAGAGAAAGGGCGCAAAACAAAUCGCAAGCAAAUGAAGAGUGUGACACAUGGAUUUGUUUUACCGAGGUUCGGUUCUUGCAAACCUACUCCCCGUUGAGGAGGCCACAAAGGCCGGGUCUCUUUCAACCCUUACCCUCUCUCAAACGGUCCCUCGGACCGAGUGAGCUUCUCUUCUCAAAUCAAAACCGGGAACAAAACUUCCCCGCAAGGGCCACCACACAAUUGGUGCCUCUUUCCUUGAUUACAAUGGAGUUUUGAUCACAAGAAUAAGUGAGAAAGAAAAGAAGCAAUCCAAGCGCAAGAGCUCAAAGGAACACGGCAAAUCUCUCUCGCUAAUCACUAAAGCCUUGAGUGGAAUUGGAGAGGAUUUGAUCUCUUUGGUGUGUCUAGAAUUGAAUGCCUAGCUCUCGUAAGUGGUUGAGAAGUUGAAAACUUGGAUGCAAUGAAUGGUGGGUGGUUGGGGGUAUUUAUAGCCCCAACCACCAAACUAGCCGUUUGGUGGGGCUGUCUGUCGCAUGGUGCACCGGACAGUCCGGUGCACACCGGACAUGUCCGGUGCGCCAGCCACGUCACCAAAGCCGUUGGGUUAUGACCGUUGGAGCUCUGUCUUCUGGGCCCGCCUGGAUGUCCGGUGGCGCACCGGACAUGCACUGUAGAGUGUCUGGUGCGCCAGCAUGGGCGUGCCUGACUUCUGCGCGCGCUGGCGCGCAUUUAAUGCGUCCGCAGGUAGCCGUUGGCGCCGAAGUAGCCGUUGCCCUGCUGUUACACCGGACAGUCCGGUGUACACCGGACAUGUCCGGUGAAUUAUAGCGGAGCAGCCGUCGCGAAUUCCCGAGGCUGCCAAGUUCCAGAGCCGCGUCCUCUUGGAGCACCGGACACUGUCCGGUGUACACCGGACAGUCCGGUGAAUUAUAGUGCGCCGGCUCUGAAAAUUCCCGAGGCUGAGGAGUUCAGCGCAAGGUCCCCUGGUGCACCGGACACUGUCCGGUGGCACACCGGACAGUCCGGUGCGCCAGACCAGGGAGCCUUUCGGGAUGCCUUUAGCUCUCUAUUUUGAACCCAACAUUGGUCCUUUUAAUUGGCUUGUUGUGAACCUUUGGCACCUGUAUAACUUAUACACUAGAGCAAACUAGUUAGUCCAAUUAUUUGUGUUGGGCAAUUCAACCACCAAAAUUAUUUAGGAACUAGGUGUAAGCCUAAUUCCCUUUCAAUCUCCCCCUUUUUGGUGAUUGAUGCCAACACAAACCAAAGCAAAUAUAGAAGUGCAAUUUGAACUAGUUUGCAUAAUGUACGUGCAAAGAUUGCUUGGAAUUGAGCCAACAUAAAUACUUAUAAGAUAUGCAUGGAUUGUUUCUUUGUUUUUAACAUUUUGGACCACGCUUGCACCACAGAUUUUGUUUUUGCAAAUUCUUUUGUAAAUCCUUUUCAAAGUUCUUUUGCAAAUAGUCAAAGGUAAAUGAAUAAGAUUUUAUGAAGCAUUUUCAAGAUUUGAAAUUUUCUCCCCCCUGUUUCAAAUGCUUUUCCUUUGACUAAACAAACCUCCCCCUAAAUGAGAUCCUCCUCUUAGUGUUCAAGAGGGUUUUGAUAUAUCAUUUUGAAAUACUACUUUCUCCCCCUUUUGAACAUAAUGAGAUACCAAUUUGAAGUUUACCAAUUGAAAAUCUCCAAUUUAAAAUUAGGUGGUGGUGGGUGGUGGUGCGGUCCUUUUGCUUUGGGCUCAUACUUUCUCCCCCUUUGGCAUGAAUCGCCAAAAACGGAAUCAUUAGAGCCCUAAGAAUUACUCUCUCCCCCUUUGGUAAUAAAUAAAUGAGUGAAGAUUAUACCAAAGACGGAGUCCUUUUGCUUGGUGCUCAUGCUUUCUCCCCCAGAAAUGGAGAGUUGCUUGGAGUGACAGCGAAGGAUGAGUUACGGAGUGGAAGCCUUUUGUCUUCGCCGAAGACUCCAAUUCCCUUUCAAUAUACCUAUGACUUGGUUUGAAAUAGACUUGAAAAACACAUUAGUCAUAGCAUAUGAAAGAGACAUGAUCAAAGGUAUACAAAUGAGCUAUGUGUGCAAUUUAGCAAAAGAAAUUGCGCGAAUCAAGAAUAUUGAGCUCAUGCCUAAGUUUGUUAAAAGUUUGUUCAUCAAGAGGCUUGGUAAAGAUAUCGGCUAAUUGAUCUUUAGUGUUAAUGUAAGAAAUCUCGAUAUCUCCCUUUUGUUGGUGAUCCCUAAGAAAAUGAUACCGAAUGGCUAUGUGUUUAGUGCGGCUAUGCUCGACGGGAUUAUCCGCCAUCUUGAUUGCACUCUCAUUAUCACAUAGCAAAGGGACUUUGGUUAAUUUGUAACCGUAGUCUCGCAGGGUUUGCCUCAUCCAAAGCAAUUGCGCGCAACAAUGGCCUGCGGCAAUGUACUCGGCUUCAGCGGUAGAAAGAGCAACGGAAUUUUGCUUCUUUGAAGCCCAAGACACCAAGGAUCUUCCCAAGAACUGGCAAGUCCCCGAUGUGCUCUUUCUAUUAAUCUUACACCCCGCCCAAUCGGCAUCCGAAUAACCAAUCAAAUCAAAUGUGGAUCCCCGAGGGUACCAAAGCCCAAACUUAGGAGUAUAAGCCAAAUAUCUCAAGAUUCAUUUUACGACCUUAAGGGUGGAUUCCUUAGGGUCGGAUUGGAAUCUUGCACACAUGCAAACGGAAAGCAUAAUGUCCGGUCGAGAUGCACAUAAAUAGAGUAAUGAACCUAUCAUCGACCGGUAUACCUUUUGAUCGACGGAUUUACCUCCCGUGUCGAGGUCGAGAUGCCCAUUGGUUCCCAUGGGUGUCUUGAUGGGCUUAGCAUCCUUCAUUCCAAACUUGGUUAGAAUGUCUUGAGUAUACUUCGUUUGGCUAAUGAAGGUGCCUUCUUGGAGUUGCUUGACUUGAAAUCCUAGAAAAUACUGCAACUCCCCCAUCAUCGACAUCUCGAAUUUUUGUGUCAUGAUCCUACUAAAUUCUUCACAUGUAGAUUCGUUAGUAGACCCAAAUAUAAUAUCAUCAACAUAAAUUUGGCAUACAAACAAAUCAUUGUCAAGAGUUUUAGUGAAUAAAGUAGGAUCGGCCUUGCCGACUUUGAAGCUAUUCGCUAUAAGGAAAUCUCUUAGGCAUUCAUACCAUGCUCUUGGGGCUUGCUUGAGCCCAUAAAGCGCCUUAGAGAGUCUAUAGACAUGGUUAGGAUACUCACUAUCUUCAAAGCCGGGAGGUUGCUCAACAUAGACCUCUUCCUUGAUUGGUCCAUUGAGGAAGGCACUUUUCACGUCCAUUUGAUAAAGCUUAAAGCCAUGGUAAGUAGCAUAGGCCAAUAAUAUACGAAUUGACUCAAGCCUAGCUACGGGUGCAUAGGUUUCACCGAAAUCCAAACCUUCGACUUGGGAGUAUCCCUUGGCCACAAGUCGAGCUUUGUUCCUUGUCACCACACCAUGCUCAUCUCGCUUGUUGCGGAAGACCCAUUUGGUUCCUACAACAUUUUGAUUAGGACAUGGAACUAAAUGCCAUACCUUAUUCCUAGUGAAGUUGUUGAGCUCCUCUUGCAUCGCCACCACCCAAACCGAAUCUUGGAGUGCUUCCUCUACCCUGUGGGGCUCAAUAGAGGAAACAAAAGAGUAAUGCUCACAAAAAUGUGCAACACGAGAUCGAGUGGUUACCUCCUUAUGAAUGUCGCCGAGGAUGGUGUCGACGGGGUGAUCUCGUUGGAUUGCUUGGUAGACUCUUGGGUGUGGCGACCUUUGUUCUUCAUCCUCCUUGUCUUGAUCAUUUGCAUCUCCCCCUUGAUCAUUGCCGUUAUCUUGAGGUGGCUCAUUUGCUUGAUCUUCUAUUUCAUCAACUUGAGCUUCAUCCUCAUUUUGAGUCGGUGGAGAUGCUUGCGUGGAGGAGGAUGGUUGAUCUUGUGCAUUCGGAGGCUCUUCGGAUUCCUUAGGACACACAUCCCCAAUGGACAUGUUCCUUAGCGCGAUGCAAGGAGCCUCUUCAUUACCUAUCUCAUCAAGAUCAACUUGCUCUACUUGAGAGCCGUUAGUCUCAUCAAACACAACGUCACAAGAAACUUCAACUUGUCCAAUGGACUUGUUAAAGACUCUAUAUGCCCUUGUGUUUGAAUCAUAUCCUAGUAAAAAGCCUUCUACAGUCUUAGGAGCAAAUUUAGAUUUUCUACCUCUUUUAACAAGAAUAAAACAUUUGCUACCAAAGACUCUAAAAUAUGAAAUAUUGGGCUUUUUACCGGUUAGGAGUUCAUAAGAUGUCUUCUUGAGGAUUCGGUGUAGAUAUAACCGGUUGAUGGCGUAGCAGGCGGUGUUGACCGCCUCGGCCCAAAACUGAUCCGAAGUCUUGUACUCAUCAAGCAUGGUCCUUGCCAUGUCCAAUAGAGUUCGAUUCUUCCUCUCCACUACACCAUUUUGUUGUGGCGUGUAGGGAGAAGAGAACUCAUGCUUGAUGCCCUCCUCCUCAAGGAAGCCUUCAAUUUGAGAGUUCUUGAACUCUGUCCCGUUGUCGCUUCUAAUUUUCUUGAUCCUUAAGCCGAACUCAUUUUGAGCCCGUCUCAAGAAUCCCUUUAAGGUCUCUUGGGUUUGCGAUUUUUCCUGCAAAAAGAAUACCCAAGUGAAGCGAGAAUAAUCAUCCACUAUUACAAGACAAUACUUACUCCCGCCGAUGCUUAUGUAAGCAAUCGGGCCGAAUAGAUCCAUGUGGAGUAGCUCAAGCGGCCUGUCGGUCGCCAUGAUGUUCUUGUGUGGAUGAUGGGCACCAAUUUGCUUUCCUGCUUGGCAUGCGCUACAAACCCUGUCUUUCUCAAAAUGAACAUUGGUUAGUCCUAAAAUGUUUUCUCCCUUUAGAAGCUUGUGAAGACUCUUCAUCCCAACAUGGGCUAGUCGGCGGUGCCAGAGCCAACCCAUGUUAGUCUUAGCAAUUAAGCAAGUGUCGAGUUCAGCUCUAUCAAAAUCUACUAAGUAUAGCUGACCCUCCAACACUCCCUUAAAUGCUAUUGAAUCAUCACUUCUUCUAAAGACAGUGACAUCUACAUCAGUGAAAAGACAAUUGUAACCCAUUUUGCAUAAUUGAGAUACAGAAAGCAAAUUGUAAUCUAAUGAAUCUACAAGAAAAACAUUGGAAAUAGAAUGGUCAGGAGAUAUAGCAAUUUUACCCAACCCUUUGACCAAACCUUGAUUUCCAUCCCCGAAUGUGAUAGCUCGUUGGGGAUCUUGGUUUUUCUCGUAGGAGGAGAACAUCUUCUUCUCCCCAGUCAUGUGGUUUGUGCACCCGCUAUCGAUGAUCCAACUUGAGCCCCCGGAUGCAUAAACCUACAAAACAAGUUUAGUUCUUGACUUUAGGUACCCAAACGGUUUUGGGUCCUUUGGCAUUAGAAACAAGAACUUUGGGUACCCAAACACAAGUCUUGGAGCCCUUGUGUUUGCCCCCAACAAACUUGGCAACUACCUUGCCGGAUUUGUUAGUUAAAACAUAUGAUGCAUCAAAAGUUUUGAAUGAAAUAUCAUGAUCAUUUGAUGCAUUAGGAGUUCUCCUUUUAGGCAACUUAGCACGGGUUGGUUGCCUAGAGCUAGAUGUCUCACCCUUAUACAUAAAUGCAUGAUUAGGGCCAGAGUGUGACUUCCUAGAAUGAAUUCUCCUAAUUUUGCUCUCGGGAUAACCGGCAGGGUAUAAAAUGUAACCCUCGUUAUCCUGAGGCAUGGGAGCCUUGCCCUUAACAAAAUUAGACAAUUUUUUAGGAGGGGCAUUAAGUUUGACAUUGUCUCCCCUUUGGAAGCCAAUGCCAUCCUUGAUGCCAGGGCGUCUCCCAUUAUAAAGCAUACUACGAGCAAAUUUAAAUUUUUCAUUCUCUAAGUUAUGCUCGGCAAUUUUGGCAUCUAAUUUUGCUAUAUGAUCAUUUUGUUGUUUAAUUAAAGCCAUGUGAUCAUGAAUAGCAUUAACAUCAACAUCUCUACAUCUAGUACAAAUAGAAGUGUGCUCAACGGUAGAUGUAGAGGUUUUGCAAGACUUUAAUUCUACAACCUUAGCAUGCAAUAUAUCUGUUGGUGACUUGUUCUCAAAAGCUAUGAGUUAAGAACAAGGCAACACAGAAAAUGUUAAUUGGUAAAGUCCUUCGUCCUUCGAAGCAUUAUCUCCCUUCGGAUAUAAUGGAUUUCGGACGAAGGUUAUGAAGGGCAAACCUUCAUAAUCAUAAUAAAAGAUGAAGAAAGAUUCAUAUACAAAAUAUGGAAAAUAGCAUAAUCACUUUAAACAUUAUUAUCAAUUUAUUUUUAUUUAUACUACUUGUGUAAGCAAUAACAAAUUACAAAUGUACCUUCGGCUUGAAGGAAAGUAAGAAUACGAGCGUGAUGCUAGAGCGAAUGCCAAGUCAGCGUCAAUAGUACGGGGAUACUGUUCACCUAUUUAUAGGCACGGGACACAGCCCAUACAGAAUUACAUUCAUGCCCUUUACAUUUGGUAAUAAUUCUAUAGUAAUCCACCGAGGUCUGAAUGGCCUUUUCAUCUUUAAGUCGGUUCCAUUUUCUGCCACCACGCCGAAGCUUUCCCGCUCACAUCUUCGGCGCUGUAUCAACCUUUGUAUUAUUUUGGGCUUCUCCUACUGCGAUACCGACUCGAGUUCGAAGAUACCUGUUUACACAUUAUACUCCAGAAAUACUGUUAAAUCAUGUUUUUGAGGACCUUCGUAAGCCGAAGGCCCCCAACAGUAGCCCCUCACAAUAUUAAUUUGUUAAAAUAAUAAAUUUAGAUUGCGACAUGGACGAAGGCUUUAAGCCGAAGGUCCGAAAAAACACCUUCCCUUUGCUAGAAUAGCAACAUUCACUGACAGGCGAGGUCUUUCAAUUUUCAACGCACUGGGCGUAUAAAUAAGAGCAUACCGCAAGCUCAUUUGGCACGCUUUCUUGCCAUCUGCUCUCGCUCACUCAAUUUUUAGCUCUUGCGCACCAAGAUUUGCUUUAGCUUUUUAAGUUUUGAAGCUUCGGCAAUUGAAAACAGUUUUUUAGCGUUUCCGAAGAUGUCUGAAGAUAAGAAGGCUGCUGCCGAGAUGAAGCUGAGUCUUUCUGAAGAGAAGAAUCUGGGGUUUCUUAUAGCAAUGUCGAAGACCAAUACAGAAAAAAUCACCAAAGAGAUUUUAGAAGGUUUGUCUGAAGAUACUGAUGACAGCGACAGUUAUGAUGUGGAUAGCGACGGUGAAGACUCCGAAGAUCGCCCCUGGCGACCAAGCCAUUAAGUUUUUGGCAAAUCAGGUAUCAAAGAGAAUCAUCUUGUCAACAUGAGAGAAAGAUAUUUCCGGGACUUAUCCAUUGUGAGGGUUGACGAAGGAGAGAAAACUUGUCCGACUCCUGAGGAAAUUGAAGUCGUAGUGUUCCGAAGCUUUUUGAAAGCUGGACUACGAUUUCCCCUGAGCAGCUUUGUCGUAGAGGUGCUUAAAAUAUUCGAAGUCUAUCUUCACCAACUUACCCCCGAAGCAAUCGUAAGGCUGAAUAUCUUCGUGUGGGCCGUGAGAAGCCAAGGUCUGGAACCUGAUGCGAAAAGUUUCUGCAACAUACACGAAUUGUUAUACGAGACAAAACCUUGGGGUAAGGAACAGUAUCACAAUAAUUUUGGCUGCUACAGUUUCGUUUCUCGAUCUGGGUCAAGCUGUCCCGUGCCAACCUUUCGGAAGAGAUGGCCCGACGACUGGAUGACAGAAUGGUUUUAUGUGAAGAAUGACCUGAAAGUACGAGAAGAUAUCAAAGGUAUAAUUAUGCGCCCCAUUUGGCAAAGCUUCGGCCUGCGGAGACCGAAGGUUGAAAUGAAUGAAGCCGCCGAAGAAUGCCAGAGAGCCUUCGGAGUUAUCUGUUCUUUUAUUGGAACAAGAGAUUUGGUCCAGGAGCAUAUUGCCUUCAGAGUAUGGCCGCUUGCGGAAAAAUGGGAAAUGCCGCAAGAAACCAUAAAGGAGGCUGACGAAGGUGGACUUAUCAGGCUGAAGUAUACUUUUAAGUUCGGAGAUAAAUUCGUUGAGCCAGAUGAUGACUGGCUAAAAAGCAUUGAAAAUUUAAGUGAUGAACUGCUUGGGGCUUACUCGAAGGCCGAAGAUACUGCAUUGUCAGCAGCCUUCGGAGGCCGAAAAAAGAAAAGACUGAACCGGGUGUUUGACGCAAUCGGGUUCGUCUACCCUGACUAUCGUUAUCCUAUUCGAGGGCAGAAAAGAAAAAACACAACCUCUGCGAAAGAAGAGGCUGCAACUGCUCCUAAUGAGCCAGCACCGAAAAGAAAAAGGAUAAAAGUCCUCACACAUCGGCCACGCUAUAUUGAACCAGCCUCGGUGCCUGAGUUCGUCGGAGAGACCUCUUCGGCCACCGAAGCUGAAAAGCCAAUCAAGCCAACCUUGCUGCCAGAAGUCACAGAAAUGGCCGAAGCGUCAACAAAAACUGAAUUGGAAGAACCAAAGAUUUUGUUAUCAGAAACCAAAGAGAUGGCCGAAGCGCCAUUGUCAGAAAAAAUGGAAGAAGCAAAAGGAUCAGCUGAAGGAUCAAAAAUAUCAGAAGUUUUAAGUCCUUCAUCAAAUGUUGAGACAACAAAAAUCCAAAAGGGGCCAGCGGUGACUCCGAAAAGAAAGAGAAUGGUCAAUGUAUUAGAUGUUCUAGAAACAAUUAAGUCUUCAAGCACAACUCCGAAGAAGACUGUUGCAAUUUCCGAAGCAAAAACUGAAAUUUCUGAUACUAAGGCUUCAGAGCAAGAAUCUGAAGCUGAAGCUGGGCCCCCAGAGCCCACGAAAGUAAAAUCCUUGGAAACCGAGGAAAAAAGAAUAACGAAGCCAAUUCUUGUUGAAGAAAUCAGUGCUAUUGCCCCCGAAGCAUCUCCCAAAGUCCUUGAUUAUAUUGUCCGUCAUGCUUCGGGGAAAAAAAUAUCAGAAAAAGAAAAGCAAGAGGCCCAGCUUUAUGCCCAAAAACUGAAGUAUCCAAAGGGGGCAUUAAUAUUCAACGGCAGUGGAGAAGAAGACUUUUUGUAUUGUCUUCCUGACAGCAAGGAGAUUUCUGUCUGUCGGGAGAUGAGCAAGAGCUUCGGAUUCCCAACACUAGAAGACGGGCUCUCGGUGCUGUCGAAAAACGAACUGGCCGACAGCCUGGCAUACAAUAGCUUAAAGGUGCAAGAAAUGAGAUCUUUGUAUUUUUUCUUAAGACCAAAAUUUUUCGUUUGCUUAAAUCUAUUGAUGCACACACAUUUUCCUUUGCAGGGCCUUAUACUUAGCAAUGCCCUCAGGGCCCAAAAAGAUGCCGAAGAUGAAGGGUGUGCUAUAGCCCUGAGCAACCUUCGUUCCGAAGUAAUUGAACUGAGGAACGAAGGUCUCGAAAAAGAUAAAAUAUUACAUUCAUUGAUAAAUAGAAUAAAGGAAGACGAAGCUACUUUUAAAGGUCAAGCUGAGGCUCAGAAGCGUGAAAUUGAAGAUCUUCGAAAACAACUGGCCAGAGCCAAAGAGCAACGCAUACUUGAAGAAACGAAGCGAGAACUUAGCGACCAAUGGGCAAAUCAUUUAGAGGGAACUGUUGAAGAGCUUCGCUCAUCCAAGAAAAGAUGUUAUACCAAAUCUAUGGAGUGUGUUAAGAAGUUGAAAGCUAGCUUCGCCAGCGUCGGCGCAUUCUCGAGCGAAGAAAACUUUACUAGAGGCAACCCCGAAGGUCCCAUCGAAUGGAUUACUCACGAAGCUGAGGCCUUCGAGGAAAUUUUAAAUAGCCGCGGAGACAUAUGUGCUUUCUCGGGUGCCAGGGGAAUUGCCACCAUUUUGGAGAAAAAGGGCUGCGAACAUGUAAAGAUUUUAGCGCAAUCCGAAGCUACCUUAUCCUUCGAAGAUGCAAGAGAUCCUUCAGCCGAAGCUAGCAUGGUUGGUGGAAAAUUUUUCACCGAUGUCUGGGAUAAUGGUGGCCGAGAAAUGGCCCGAGAAAUUAUCCGAAAAAGCGAAAAGGGUAUUCACGAUGCUAGAGAAGUAGCUGAGGCUGUUGAAAAAAACGCAGAACCCGAAGAGCAAAUAGGUAUUAACUAAUGGUUUUUAUUGUGUUGUAAUUUUUGAUUUUAAACUUCAUUCACAAUUUGUAAUAGCAAUGUAGCCGUAUCCUGUCCUCCUUCAGAUCCUACUAAAACAUCUCCGGGCCCCCACCCGAAAGGAGAUGACGAAAUUAAAAAGAUGGCUGAAGCUAUCAUGGAUGAAGUUGUUGAUCGGCUACUGAACGAAGCUGCGGAAGUUGUUCUGAGAGAAGAUUAAGUACUAUUGUAAAAACUUCUGGAAUGUAACAUGUGUAACAUCUUGCAGCCCUAAAUAUAAUAUACCUGUUUUUAUUGUUCAGUUCUUUACGAUGCAUGAAAUUUUACAUACGUACCGUUUUUGAGUCGUUGACGAAAAAACACCUUCCCUUCUUUUCAUGCUUCGUGAAGAAGAAUUUUUAUUUAUCUCAACAAUAUCCGUAGUGCUCUGAUGAAUAAUAUCCAAGCUUCGUGAAGAUAUUUUCUGAAGCUACACUUCCGAAGAUCAAUAGUGUAUCUGCUUACGACUUAGCAUGAUUUUCUCCUUUUUUUUUAAAAAAAACAUUCUUCUGAAGAUCAAUAUUGUGUCCCCUUCUUGUGCCAUAUGCAGCAUGAUGUAUGAUGCUUAUGCUAUGCGAAAUGAUGUAAUGAUGUUAUGCUAUGUAAGAUGGUAUUUAUUCCAAAGAUACACGCACAUCCCUGCGAUAAAACACAUAAUCUUUCUGAAUCAGCUUUGACUUUUUGCUAUAAGCCUCCCUUAGGAGCUUCUUCGCCUUUUACUUCAGCGGAGUCAGCGUUUAUUUUUCGCUGUAAGCCUCCCUUAGGAGCUUCUUCGCCUUUUACUUUCAGCGGUAUUCGCGUUGACUUUUCGCGCUUCGCCUUUUACUUUAGGCGGUAUCAGCGUUGACUUUUCGCUGUAAGCUCUGCAUUCCCUUUGGAACGACUUUGGAGCAGAAAACUUACACUGCGCUCCCUUUGGAACGACUUUUUAUGACUUCAUCAAACUUACUCUGCGUUCCUUAGAACGACUUUUUGUUGCUUCGAAGAAUUUUUGAUAAUUCGAAGGUCCUCCUUGUUAUCGCAAAUCUUUAAGCUUUAACAACUUAAGCCUGUGGAGAAAGUAUAUUUUCCUUGUGGCAAACAACGAAACUAUUACAUGAAAUCUAAAAAAUGUCCUUUAUUACGUAGAAAAUAAAACUGAAUGAAAAAGACUGCUAUCCAGGUAGGAUAUUUGUCAAUAGAUGUGCUUUGACUCUGGCACAGUGCUGUUGACUGUGCGAGCUUCGGACUGUUCUCUGAAGUCCCUUUGGUGUGGAGCAUAUUGGCUCCCUUCUGGCUGUUGGCCCUGUUGUAGCGGUGGUGGAGGCGGAGGCUGUUGCCAGGAAGCUUGAGGUUGACUCGCCGAAGCAACAGAAACUGCAGGGUGGUUGCCUACAUAUUCUGGGAUGUAAGGCGAAUGAUACGAAGCAGUGUGCAUAACCUGCUUCAGCUGAGCCUGUUGUGCCGCAACUUCGGCUAUUUCCUUUUGCUUCUGGAUGGUAACAUGGCACAUCCUGGUGGUAUGGCCCUUGUUCUCACCACAGAACAAGCAAAAAAUUCUUCUUGGUUGAUCUCCAAAUCUUCCGCCGAAGCCCCUGGCGCCUCUGCCUCUUGGAGCUGGUGGUCGGAAGGAGCCUUGCUGUUGCCCCGAAGCUUGUGAGGAGCACUGUGGCCUUUGUUGCUGACUCCCCUUAUCAUCAUUUUGAGCAGAGUUAUGGAUUGACCUAACGUGCCUCGGAUAGAAUCUUCCUCCGAAGCCCCUGGUCAUUUCAGAAAACCUGAAAGCCUCCUCCCUUCUUUGAUGAAAAUCAUUAUCGGCCCGAAUAUACUCGUCCAUCUUCUGGAGCAGCUUCUCCAAAGUUUGAGGAGGCUUCCUAGCAAAGUACUGAGCUGAAGGUCCUGGCCAAAGCCCCUUGAUCAUGGCCUCAAUGACAAUUUCGUUGGGCACUGUUGGUGCCUGUGCCCUCAAACGCAAGAACCUUCGGACGUACGCCUGAAGGUAUUCUUCGUGAUCUUGGGUGCACUGAAAUAGAGCUUGAGCAGUGACCGGCUUCGUCUGAAACCCUUGGAAGCUGGUUAACAACAAGUCCUUCAGCUUUUGCCAUGAAGUGAUCGUUCCUGGUCGAAGGGAGGAAUACCAGGUUUGAGCAACACUCCUGACAGCCAUAACAAAAGAUUUGGCCAUGACUGCAGCAUUGCCACCAUACGAAGAUACUGUUGCUUCGUAGCUCAUCAAAAACUGCUUCGGGUCUGAGUGGCCAUCAAAUAUGGGAAGCUGAGGCGGCUUGUAGGACGGAGGCCAAGGUGUAGCCUGCAACUCAGCGGACAGAGGAGAAGCAUCAUCAAAAACAAAAUUCCCAUGAUGGAAAUUGUCAUACCAGUCAUCUUCGUUGAGGAAACCCUCCUGAUGAAGGUCUUGGUGUUGAGGCCUUCAGUGUUGCUCAUCCUGAGUAAGAUGACGAACUUCUUCAGAGGCUUCGUCUAUCUGCCGUUGCAGUUCAGCUAGCCUGGCCAUCUUUUCCUUCUUCCUCUGCACCUGUUGAUGAAGCAUCUCCAUGUCUCUGAUUUCUUGGUCUAUCUCAUCCUCUGGUGGUGUCGGGCUAACAGCCUUCCUUUUCUGGCUUCGGGCCUCCCGAAGGGAGACAGUCUCCUGAUUGUGAUCCAGCGGUUGCAGAGCUGCAGCCCCAGUUGUUGAAGCUUUCUUCGGCGCCAUAGCGAAGGUUUAUGAUCGCCGAAGGUAUUCAAAAACUCAAGGAAUGGAAGUGAGUUCACCGGAGGUGGGCGCCAAUGUUGGUGACUUGUUCUCAAAAGCUAUGAGUUAAGAACAAGGCAACACAUAAAAUGUUAAUUAGUAAAGUCCUUCGUCUUUCGAAGCAUUAUCUCCCUUCGGAUAUAAUGGAUUUCGGACGAAGGUUAUGAAGGGCAAACCUUCAUAAUCAUAAUAAAAGAUGAAGAAAGAUUCAUAUACAAAAUAUGGAAAAUAGCAUAAUCACUUUAAACAUUAUUAUCAAUUUAUUUUUAUUUAUACUACUUGUGUAAGCAAUAACAAAUUACAAAUGUACCUUCGGCUUGAAGGAAAGUAAGAAUACGAGCGUGAUGCUAGAGCGAAUGCCAAGUCAGCGUCAAUAGUACGGGGAUACUGUUCACCUAUUUAUAGGCACAGGACACAGCCCAUACAGAAUUACAUUCAUGCCCUUUACAUUUGGUAAUAAUUCUAUAGUAAUCCACCGAGGUCUGAAUGGCCUUUUCAUCUUUAAGUCGGUUCCAUUUUCUGCCACCACGCCGAAGCUUUCCCGCUCACAUCUUCGGCGCUGUAUCAACCUUCGUAUUAUUUUGGGCUUCUCCUACUGCGAUACCGACUCGAGUUCGAAGAUACCUGUUUACACAUUAUACUCCAGAAAUACUGUUAAAUCAUGUUUUUGAGGACCUUCGUAAGCCGAAGGCCCCCAACAAUAUCAUUCUUAGUUCUAUGGUCGGAAAUAGUAGUAUUGCAAACAUCAAAAUCUUUAGCCUUAGCAAGCAAUUUUUCAUUCUCAAUUCUAAGGCUAGCAAGAGAAAUAUUCAACUCAUCAAUCCUAGCAAGCAAAUCAAUAUUAUCAUCUCUAGAAUUGGAAGUUGAAACAUUACAAAUAUGAGAAUCAACCUUAGCAAUUAAUUUGGCAUUUUCAUUUCUAAGGUUGGUAAUAGUGUCAUGGCAUGUGCUUAGCUCACUAGAUAAUUUCUCACAUUUUUCUAUUUCUAGAGCAUAAGCAUUUUUAACCUUAACAUGUUUCUUAUUUUCCUUAAUUAGGAAGUCCUCUUGGGAAUCCAAAAGGUCAUCCUUUUCAUGAAUAGCACUAAUUAAUUCAUUUAAUUUUUCCUUUUGUUCCAUGUUAAGGUUGGCAAAAAGGGUACGCAAGUUAUCCUCCUCAUCACUAGCAUUAUCAUCACUAGAAGACUCAUAUUUAGUGGAUGAUUUGGAUUUAACCUUCUUCCUCUUGCCGUCCUUUGCCAUGAGGCACUUGUGGCCGACGUUGGGGAAGAGGAGUCCCUUGGUGACGGCGAUGUUGGCGGCGUCCUCGUCGUCGGAGGAGUCGGUGGAGCUCUCGUCGGAGUCCCACUCGCGGCACACGUGAGCAUCGCCGCCCCUCUUCUUGUGAUACCUCUUCUUUUCUCUCCUCUUGCCCUUCUUGUCGUCACCCCUGUCACUGUCACUUGAUAAUGGACAUUUAGCAAUAAAGUGACCGGGCUUACCACACUUGUAGCAAACCUUCUUGGAACGGAAUUUGUAAUCCUUCCCCUUCCGUUGCUUGAGGAUUUGGCGAAAGCUUUUGAUGAUUAAAGCCAUCUCCUCGUUGUCGAGCUUUGAAGCGUCCAUUGGUUGUCUACUUGGUGUAGACUCCUCCUUCUUUUCCUCCGUCGCCUUGAAUGCCACCGGUUGUGCUUCGGAUGUGGAGGGAUCAUCAAGCUCGUUGAUCUUCUUUGAGCCCUUGAUCAUACACUCAAAGCUCACAAAAUUCCCGAUAACUUCCUCGGGAGUCAUUAGUGUGUAUCUAGGAUUACCACGAAUUAAUUGAACUUGAGUGGGGUUAAGGAAGAUGAGUGAUCUAAGAAUAACCUUAACCACCUCGUGGUCAUCCCAUUUCUUGCUCCCGAGGUUGCGCACUUGGUUCACCAAGGUCUUGAGCCGGUUGUACAUAUCUUGUGGCUCCUCCCCUUGGCGAAGACGGAAGCGACCGAGCUCCCCCUCGAUCGUUUCCCGCUUGGUGAUCUUGGUGAGUUCAUCACCCUCGUGCGCGGUCUUGAGUAGAUCCCAAAUCUCCUUCGCAUUCUUCAACCCUUGCACCUUGUUAUAUUCCUCUUUACUUAGAGAGGCGAGGAGUAUGGUUGUGGCUUGGGAGUUGAAGUGCUCGAUUUGGACUACUUCAUCCUCAUCAUAGUUUUCAUCCCCUACAGAUGGUACCUGUGCACCAAACUCAACAACAUCCCAUAUACUUUUGUGGAGUGAGGUUAGAUGAAAUCGCAUUAAAUCACUCCACCUAGCAUAAUCUUCACCAUCAAAUGUUGGUGGUUUGCCUAAUGGGACGGAAAGUAAAGAUGUGUGUUUAGGAAUGCGAGGGUAGCGUAGGGGGAUCUUACUAUACUUCUUACGCUCUUGGCGUUUUGAAGUGACAGAUGCCGCGUCGGAGCCGGAGGUAGAUGCCGAUGAAGAAUCGGUCUCGUAGUAGACCACCUUCCUCAUCCUCUUUUUCUUGUCCCCACUCCGAUGUGGCUUGUGGGAAGAAGAUUUGUCCUUCUUCUCUUUGUGGUGUGAAGAAGAUUUCUUCUCCUUCCCUUUGGAGGAGUCCUUCUUCUUCUCCUUUCUCUUGAUGCGGGACUCUUCCGAUGAAGUGCUCCCGUGGCUUGUAGUGGGCUUUUCGCCGGUCUCCAUCUCCUUCUUGGCGUGAUCUCCCAACAUCACUUCGAGCGGUUAGGCUCUAAUGAAGAACCGGGCUCCGAUACCAAUUGAUAGUCGCCUAGAGGGGGGGGGUGAAUAGGGCGAAACUGAAAUUUACAAAUAUAAACACAACUACAAGCCCGGUUAGCGUUAGAGAUAAUAACGAGUCCGAGAGAAAGGGCGCAAAACAAAUCGCAAGCAAAUGAAGAGUGUGACACGUGGAUUUGUUUUAUCGAGGUUCGGUUCUUGCAAACCUACUCCCCGUUGAGGAGGCCACAAAGGCCGGGUCUCUUUCAACCCUUACCCUCUCUCAAACGGUCCCUCGGACCGAGUGAGCUUCUCUUCUCAAAUCAAAACCGGGAACAAAACUUCCCCGCAAGGGCCACCACACAAUUGGUGCCUCUUGCCUUGAUUACAAUGGAGUUUUGAUCACAAGAAUAAGUGAGAAAGAAAAGAAGCAAUCCAAGCGCAAGAGCUCAAAGGAACACGACAAAUCUCUCUCGCUAAUCACUGAAGCCUUGAGUGGAAUUGGAGAGGAUUUGAUCUCUUUGGUGUGUUUAGAAUUGAAUGCCUAGCUCUUGUAAGUGGUUGAGAAGUGGAAAACUUGGAUGCAAUGAAUGGUGGGUGGUUGGGGGUAUUUAUAGCCCCAACCACCAAACUAGCCGUUUGGUGGGGCUGUCUGUCGCAUGGUGCACUGGACAGUCCGGUGCACACCGGACAGUCCGGUGCACACCGGACAGUCCGGUGCACACCGGACAUGUCCGGUGCGCCAGCCACGUCACCAAAGCCGUUGGGUUCUGACCGUUGGAGCUCUGUCUUCUGGGCCCGCCUGGAUGUCCGGUGGCGCACCGGACAUGCACUGUAGAGUGUCCGGUGCGCCAGCAUGGGCGUGCCUGACUUUUGCGCGCGCUGGCGCGCAUUAAAUGCGUCCGCAGGUAGCCGUUGGCGCCGAAGUAGCCGUUGCCCUGCUGUUACACCGGACAGUCCGGUGUACACCGGACAUGUCCGGUGAAUUAUAGCGGAGCAGCCGUCGCGAAUUCCCGAGGCUGCCAAGUUCCAGAGCCGCGUCCUCUUGGAGCAUCGGACACUGUCCGGUGUACACCGGACAGUCCGAUGAAUUAUAGUGCGCUGGCUCUGAAAAUUCCCGAGGCUGAGGAGUUCAGCGCGAGGUCCCCUGGUGCACCGGACACUGUCCGGUGGCACACCGGACAGUCCAGUGCGCCAGACCAGGGAGCCUUUCGGGAUGCCUUUAGCUCUCUAUUUUGAACCCAACAUUGGUCCUUUUAAUUGGCUUGUUGUGAACCUUUGGCACCUGUAUAACUUAUACACUAGAGCAAACUAGUUAGUCCAAUUAUUUGUGUUGGGCAAUUCAACCACCAAAAUUAUUUAGGAACUAGGUGUAAGCCUAAUUCCCUUUCACCAACCCUCUCUAAGAGGGCCCUGGACCUUCCUUUUAUAGGCGUAAGGAAAGGAUCCAGGUGUACAAUGGGGGGUGUAGCAGUGUGCUAACGUGUCUAGCGGAGGUGAGCUAGCGCCCUAAGUACAUGCCAUCAUGGCAGCCGGAGAGGUUUCGGCACCCGGUUGGUGUGGUGUCGUGGCCGUCGGAGGAGCGCUGGAGCCUGGCGGAAGGACAACUGUCGGGGCUGUCGGGUCCUUGCUGACGUCCUCUUGCUUCCGUAAGAGGGCUGAGAGCCGCCGUCGUCAUAGAGCAUGCGGGGCGCCAUCAUUACUUGUCUGGCAGAGCGAGCCAGAUGGGAUGCCGGUCCUGUUCCCCGUAGCCUGAGUCAGCUUGGGGUAGGGUAAUGAUGGCGCCUCCUGUGACGUGGUCGGUCCGAGCCCUGAGUUGGGCGAGGUGGAGGCUCCUCCGAGGUUGAAGUCGAGUCUGUCUUCCGAGGCCGAGGUCGAGUCCGAGCCCCUGGGUCGGGCGAGGCGGAGACCGUCGGCUGAGGCCAGGGCUGAGUCCGAGCCCUAGGGUCGGGCGAAGCGGAGUUCGUCGUCUUCUGGGGCUGAGCCCGAGUCCAAGCCCUGGGGUCGGGCGAAGCGGAGUUCGUCGUCUUCCGGGGCUGAGCCCGAGUCCGAGCCCUGGGGUCGGGCGAAGCGGAGUUCGUCGUCUUCCGGGGCUGAGCCCGAGUCCGAGCCCUGGGGUCGGGCGAAGCGGAGUUCGUCGUCUUCCGGGGCUGAGCCCGAGUCCGAGCCCUGGGGUCGGGCGAAGCGGAGUUCGUCGUCUUCCGGGGCUGAGCCCGAGUCUGAGCCCUAGGGUCGGGCGAAGCGGAGUUUCCUACGGCGCCUGAGGCCGGACUUGGCUGCUGUCAGCCUCACUCUGUCGAGUGGCACGGCAGUCGGAGCGGCGCAGGCGGCGCUGUCCUCUUGUCAGGCCUGUCAGUGGAGCGGCGAAGUGACUACGGUCACUUCGGCUCUGUCAACUGGAGGACGCGCGUCAGGAUAAAGGUGUUAGGCCACCUUUGCAUUAAAUGCCCCUGCGAUUUGGUCGGUUGGCGUGGCGAUUUGGUCAAAGUUGCUUCUUGUUGAAGACUGGGCCUCGGGCGAGCCGAAGGUGUGUCCGUUGCUGGAGGGGGUCCUCGGGCGAGACGUAGAUCCUCCGGGGUCGGCUGCCCUUGCCCGAGGCUGGGCUCGGGCGAGGCGGGAUCGUGUCCCUUGAAUGGACCGCCUUUGCAGCUUUGUGCUGAUGGGGGUUACCAGCUGAGAUUUAGGAGUCUUGAGGGUACCCCUAAUUAUGGUCCCCGACAAGUAGCAUUUAAGGGAGUGUUAGUGGGUCAGCUAUACUUAGUUGAUUUUAAUAGAGCUGAACUCGACACUUGCUUAAUUGCUAAGACUAACAUGGGUUGGCUCUGGCAUCACCGACUAGCCCACGUUGGAAUGAAGAAUCUUCACAAGCUUCUAAAGAGAGAGCACAUUUUUGGACUAACAAAUGUUCAUUUUGAGAAAGACAGGAUUUGUAGCGCAUGUCAAGCAGGGAAGCAAGUUGGUGUUCAUCAUCCACAUAAGAACAUCAUGACGACUGAUAGUCCGCUUGAGCUACUCGACAUGGAUCUAUUCGGCCCGAUAGCUUACAUAAGCAUCAGCGGGAGUAAGUAUUGUCUUGUUAUUGUGGAUGAUUUUUCUCGCUUCACUUGGGUAUUCUUUUUGCAGGAUAAAUCCCAAACCCAAGAGACUUUAAAGGGAUUCUUGAGACGGGCACAAAAUGAGUUCGGAUUGAGAAUAAAAAAGAUAAGAAGCGACAACGGGACGGAGUUCAAGAACUCUCAAAUAGAAGGAUUUCUUGAGGAUGAGGGCAUUAAGCAUGAGUUCUCUUCUCCCUACACACCACAACAAAAUGGUGUAGUGGAGAGGAAGAAUAAAACUCUACUUGACAUGGCGAGGACCAUGCUUGAUGAGUACAAGACUUCAGACCGGUUUUGGGCAGAAGCAAUCAACACCGCUUGCUACGCCAUCAACCGUCUCUACCUUCACCGAAUUCUCAAGAAGACAUCAUAUGAACUCCUCACCGGUAAAAGCCCAAUGUUUCAUAUUUUAGAGUCUUUGGUAGCAAAUGCUUUAUUCUUGUUAAAAGAGGUAGAAAAUCUAAAUUUGCUCCUAAGGCUGUAGAAGGCUUUUUACUUGGUUAUGACUCAAACACAAGGGCAUAUAGAGUCUUUAACAAGUCCACUGGACUAGUUGAAGUUUCUUGUGACAUUGUGUUUGAUGAGACUAACAGCUCUCAAGUAGAGUGAAGCGUCCCAAUCCUCUGGGACUCAAAUGUGAUACAAUUACUAGUCCUAGGAGGCUAGUAAACACAUUUAUACAUCAGAUGAUUCCAGAUAUGCUUAAACGAGACAAACCUAUAAAGGUGGCGAUCAACUUUAGAGUUGGUCCACAACUCGGGACAUAUCAUCAGAGUGGGGCUGAAGUAGCCCGAUAUACGCAGCGAAGCAAAUCAGCGGUCCAACAGCCACAGGCAAGGUUGGGAACAGUCGUAACUCUUACAUGAUCUCCUUUUCUAAAAAACAACAAAUAAGCAAGGGUGAGUACAAACGUACUCAGCAGCCCACCUUCACCCGCGGAAUGGGGAAAUCAGAUAUAAUGCAUGGAAUAUGUGGAGCUCAGGAUAUUUUGCAGAAACAACAAUAUUUUAUGCAGGGUUGUUUUGAAAAAACAUUUUGUAUUUUGCAAAGCGCAUCCUCUCCAAAAGGAGCAGGAAGUUUUUCAGUAUUAGAACAAAAUCCCGUGGACUAAACCAUCCAGGUAUCUCAGUAGUUUCCCACUGGUUUUCAUUUUCAAAAACAGCUACUGGACUUCCCGUCCACCAUAGCUCACGGCUCAACCGCCGGACCUUUUAAAAACCACUUUUCAAAAGCACCCUUUUUUUGAAAACAAAACACUAAUUGCCAUACCACACCAGACUCGUCCAUUCCUAUGGACACAGACUAUUCUAAUAGGUGUGAACUCUGCGCAGAGGUGUACACUUUACCCACUAGUCCGGCUCUGCGAUCUCAUGGCCAAUGAGAUCCGAAUCCGAAUCUCUUUCUUUCCUCACACGUCCUAACCUUAACGGUUAUACCAGAAGGAGUCAGGCCACCGCCAUGUCCAAACCGGACAAAACAUUCCCCCUCCUUAUCGUCCCGGUGCUCCCCAGCCUUCAUAACCCUAAGGUUGGACCGUACGAGUUUAGAUUGAGUGAUUGUCCACACAGUCUCGAGUGGUUGUACUUAUCAUGAGUACAGGUAGUGAAAGAUGACAAACCGGUCCUUAUGUGAGGGGACAAUCCUUCUGCUCACACCUAAACCAGCUGAGCCAUCACCUUGGGCCCUCCCCUAAACCAGGGAGUCCCUGAUCAUCCCUACUCAAAGGUGAUAAGGGUGAAAACCCUUCAUCAUACACAUUUUGAAAAGCAUUUUCUUUUGAAAACUCACACCUUUUCUCAAAUCAUUUGGAACAAAUAUAUCAAGGAUUGAUUGCGGAAGCGGCUGGGUGGCCAUAAUAACUUGUCUCAAAAUCAUAUCAUGCAUAAAAUAACAGACUGAGUGUUGUGGUUGAAAAAUCAUAGGUAAUUUAUGCAUCAAAGGGAUCCAGUGAGCUUGUCGUGCUUAUCCGGCGAAGGGGAAAGGGGAGCUCACGGAACUGGCUUCUGGCUCCACCGCCUGGCGUAGACUUGCAAAUCUGGCCUCCACGAGACGGCACGAACGCUCCAAUAACUAUGCAACAUGAACAAGCAAACAUACAAACCAGCAAGUAUACCAACAAAUAUUUAGUAUAGUGGUCAGAAUAGCGACAUAUGGAUGGGUAGAGUCUUGAGUAGAAUCUAUGUCAUGUGGUGUUGUGAUAUUACUGGUGGUGGAGCGGAGGUGCUUACCAGGAGGGUGGACUGGAGGCGAAGCGACACUAUGCGUGUAGCCGGCAGAGCGGAGUAACUGAGUGGGUGGGGUGUUUGCCUUGGCUGAGGGUGUUGAGUGUGUGUGGAGAGGGAGAGGGUAGCUGGGUGUAUUUAUAGCUAAGUGUAUGUGGUGUAGCACAGUGAAGUUCACUGUUGGUGAGAAUAGUGACGAAUGAAUCGUCUGACUUAGUAUGAACAGGAGAGUUAUAGGCAGAAUAUGGGACAAGAGUAUUUUGGGAGUUUUCUGGAAUAUGGACCAGGCUUAAGGGAUGACAUGGUUGGAUAGGGAAUAAUUCGAUAAGAAUUUAGAAAUGAGAAUUAUUGGAAUCUGAGUUUGGAAGUCUGGUUCGAAGGAAUCUCAAAGUUAAGCGGGCUCAACUUGGAGAAACCUGGGAUGGGUGAGCAGAUGGGAAGUUCCCUACUGGAAGGAAAAUCAUAGUCACCGGAGUUCGUAUGACUGGAAUAUGGGUCUGACUGGUCUUAGGUGGACUGGACAACAUGAUGGAUGAGUAGUUGAAAUUUUGGGGUGAUCGGAUGAACGGUGAAUAGUAACAGUGAUGAAUAGUAACGAUGAAUAGUGAUGGUGAAUGGUAAUGGCGAAUAGUAAUGGUAAAUAGUGAUGUGAAUAGUUCGUAUGACCGAACGAUGAACGAUGAAUAGUGACGAUGAACGAACGAUGAACGAUGAAUAGGAACUAUGAACGAAUGGACGAACGUUCGAAUGACCGGACGAACGAACGAUCGGAAUUUCGGUAGCAUAACGGCAGGACAAAGAUUAUCUGGAAGAACGAUGAAUAGGGACUAUGAAUGAACGAUGAAUAGGAACUAUGAACGAAUGAUGAACGAUCGAAUGAUCGAACGAACGAACGAUCGAAAUGUCGGCAACAUAACGGUAGGAAAAAUAUUAUUUGGACGAACGAACAGACGAACGAACCAUGAACGAUCGGAUGAACGAUCGAACGAUCGGAUGAACGAUCGAACGAUCGGACGAACGAACGAACAAACUAAGAACAGAGGGACGAACGAUCGAAGAACGACCGAACGAUCCUUGUGCUAGUGUGUGCUUGUGUGGGAAGUGGAGUGGGUGUGUGUGGGGGGGGGGGAAGAGAGUUGCCAUGAAAUGGCUUAGGGUGGGAUGAGUGGAGGCCCUUGCCCCUCUAUUUAUAGCCAUGGUGGGGGGAUUAGGGGGAGGGAUGUGAGGAUUAGUGGGAGGAUGAGAGGAUUAGUGGGAGGUUAGCAUGUAUUUGUCUUGUAUAAGUGAGAUUAGCUUGUAGAGCUCACCGUAUGACACUGGAGGCAUACAUAUACAUAUGAGCAUGAGGAAAGUUAUGAAGAAAAUAUUUAUAGGGACUUGAAAAAUGAUUCUGAAGGUAUUUCUCACAAGGAAAAAUGCUUGGAGAUAUAUCAGUGGAAUAUCUGGGCAAUAUUUCUGGAAAUAACUUGAAGGGGAUUACUCGGGAAAUAUCUAGGCGGUAUUUCUGGAAGAAUUUGAGGGGGAUCACUGGAGAAAUAUUUGUAUUUUGAGGAGGAUUUUGGAGAGAAUAUAGACCACUAUAAUUUAUUUGUUGAUAUCAACUCGCAAACAAACAUUUUGAAAUGAAAUUUGAAAUUCAUUUUGAAUUUAGAGCGAGUUUGAGAAAAUUUCAAGAUUUGAAUUUUUGGGAUGCUACAAAUCUACCCCACUUAAAAGGAAUCUCGUCCUCGAGAUUCGACUCAGAAGGGUUAUGUGUAUAGCUUUACUUCAGCUACAUAUCUUCACUUUGCAGACGCUUCGAGGAGAUGGAACUUCAACAAAAUCUGGCCUUCGAGGAUCAUCCGGUUGCCGAUUGCAAACGCUGAUUCUGGCUACUCAAAGAUCAUCUUCAAGCUUCUAGCUUUCGCUUGGCAGCUAGCUUAUUGGAGAAGCAUCGAUGCCAACACACAAACCUUCUUCUUGCGAACUUAUCCAUGGGUCCCUUCCUUGAUUGGUCUUCUGGUGCUUCAUCAACGGAACUUGGGUGACCACUUCUCAUCCAAAAACUUAUAAGCUUCGAUGAUCUGGUCCUCCACAAGCUUGCUAUAGGCCUUCUUCUUUUUCUCCAUAGCAGGAACCUUACUGGAACACUACCCCACUUAAAAAGAAUGAGGGUAGAGCUCUUGAAUCUUGGGGAUUUGAACUCCUUGAAGUACCUCAUAACAAGGGUGUUACGGGGCCUUCUUCUGCUGUUGCUGCUUGAGCAGGAUGCGGAGAGAUGACUGACACAAGGUUGAUUCUGGGAGAACCUUCUUCUCUUCUCUUCACUAUCUUCUUUUCUCUUCUCAUUGCUCCUUUCUUUAUCUUUGCUCUUCCCACUGGAUGAUUCUAUCAAAGAGUAUUACCAUCAUACAGAGGAGGAAACCAAACACUAUGAACCAUGUACAACAGUCUUCAACCCAAGAAUCACCAAGCAUUGUGAUCUUAGGGGCGAAGGAGUGGAAAAUGGAGUUGCUUGUGAUUUGGCAGAGGGGAUUUUAUCAGGUGGGUGUGCUUUUCUUUGAGCGAGAUGGGAGUUGAGGGAGCUGGUGGGGGGGUUUUAUUAACGAGCGGGGGUGCUCGGGGGGUGUGGAGUGGUAGUGAUGGAGCAGGUGACAUGAGGCAGUAGGUGUGACAAGGGGAGGGGGGACGGUGUUGCUGGCGGUGAUGGCGGCGGUGGGUGUGCUGGAAAGGGGAAGUGGGGCGGUGGUGGUGCGCAUGGAGGCGGGCACGCGUGCGGGGGGCACGGGUGAGUGGUGGGGUCAUUGACCCUGAUGUUUGUGGUCUAUGGUUCCAAGAAUCUUUGCCUCUCUGUAUGGUAAUAACUCCUUUUGUCCUCUUUUCCUGUUUACUUUGACUCAGGGGCAGUGCUUUGAUUCUCACGGUCGGUCCUUUUGAGUGAGCGGCUGGAUAGGUUUCUUCUGUAGCUUAUUCCUGGCUUCAAGGUUAAGCUUCCUGGUAUCUUCUUGGGUAAGGUGCUUUUCUCUUGAGAUGGGUUAAGAUGAGAAUGGAAGCAUAAGGUAAGGAUUAGCUCUAAUUUGUGAUUUAUGUUUUACAAAAGAUGUUUGGCAAAGUGGGAGGGUUGUUUUUGAAAAUAAAAUUUGAUGGUGGAUCCAUCAGGGCCUUGAUGGAUUCAACAUCUGGAAAAGAUGUACCUCUGCCAGGUACCAAACUUUGGGUUUGAAAUGAUUAAGCUGAGACCGGGCGGGUGACUUGCACGAGAAGAGAGUCUCGGUGUAGUGUCUCCGUCUGAGUCGAUUAAGGACCGUCUCGAUGUAGGCUUGAUGAUCGAGGACCCUUUAACUGGUCACAUGCCUCGUCAUGGGUAAGCCUUGCCUCGGGCAGACUAAGGCCGGAAUAAGAUAACACGAAAUGGGCGUGGAGCGGUGGCGAGAGUAGCGUGUACCCUCCGUGGCAAGAGGCUGGACGGUGGUGUAGCUGUGCUCUCGGUUUGCGUGAACCUGAUCCGGUCUUAAGAACCCCGGUGGUGGGUUGACAUAUGCAAGGGUUAAGUGCUACAUAUGUCGUGUGAUUGGAGAUCCUCAGCUGAGUAUAAUCGAUUCGGAUCGCCGUACCUUCGCGGUUAUGAAGACUUGGUCACUGCCCUACACGUAGCAUUUGUUGGGGACUUGUUCUUAAAUGCUAUGAGUUAAGAACAAGGCAACACAGAAAAUGUUAAACAUUAAGAUCCUUCGUCCUUCGAAGCAUUAUUUCCCUUAGGAUAUAACGAUCCCCGGACGAAGGUCAUGAAGGAUUAACCUUCAUCACUAUAAUAUACAUUAGUAAAAGACGAAGCAUAUGAAACAUAAAAGAUAGCGUGAAUAACCGUAUAACAUUAUUUAUUUAACUUUAUUAACUCAUCAUAAAGGAAUAGAAACAAUAUUGAAUUAUAAAUGUACCUUCGGCUUGGAGGGAAAUGAAAAUACAAGUGUGACGCAAAAGCAAAUGCCAAGUCCGCGUGAACAGUACGGGGGUACUGUUCACCUAUUUAUAGGCACGGGGUACAACCCAUACAAAAUUACAUACAUGCCCUUUACAUUUGGUGAUAAUUCUAUAGCAUUCUAUCGAGGUCUAAAUGGCCUUUUCAUCUUUAAGUCGGUUCCCCUUUCUGCCAACAUGCCGAAGCUUUCCUGCUUCACAGCUUCGGCACUGUGUCAACCUUCGUAUCUUUUGAGCUUCUCCCUUUCCGAUUCAAGUCCGAAGAUACCUGUUCACACAUUAUACUCCAGAAACAUUGUUAAAUCAUGUUUUUGAGGACCUUCGGAAGCCGAAGGCCCCCAACAGUAGCCCCUCGCAAUAUUAAUUUGUUUGAAAUAAUAAAUUCAGAUUGCGAUAUGAACGAAGGCUUUAUGCCGAAGGUCCGAAAAAACACCUUCCCUUUGCUAGAAUAGCAACAUUCAAUGACAAGUGGGGUCUUUCAACUUUCAACGCAUCAAGCGUAUAAAUACGGCCAUACCGCAAACUUAUUUUGCACGCUUUCUGGCCAACCACUCCUGCUCACUCAUUUUUUAGCUCUUGUGCACUGUGAUCUGCUAAGUUUUUAGCUUUGAAGCUUCGGCUUUUAGAAACAGUUUUUUAGCGCUUCCGAAGAUGUCUGAAGCUGCUAAGAAGGCUGCUGCUGAGAUGAAGCUGAAUCUUGAUGAAGAGAAGAACCUAGGGUUUCUUAUAGCGAUGUCGAAGUCCAACACAGAAAAGAUUACCAAGGAAAUUCUGGAGGGGCUGUCUGAAGAUACUGGUGACAGUGAAAGUUAUGAUAUGGACAGCGGUGGCGAAGACUCCGAAGAUCGCCCCUGGCGACCAAGCCAUUCAGUUUAUGGUAAGUCAACUAUCAAAGAGAAUCAUCUUGUUAAUAUGAGAGGAAGGUAUUUCCGGGAUCUGUCUAUUGUGAGGGCGGACGAAGGGGAAAAAACUUGUCCACACCCUGAAGAAAAUGAAGUUGUGGUGUAUCGAAGCUUUUUGAAAGCUGGAUUGCGAUUCCCCUUGAGCAGCUUCGUCGUGGAGGUGUUGAAAAUCUUCGAAGUCUAUCUUCAUCAACUUACUCCCGAGGCAAUUAUAAGGCUAAAUAUCUUCGUGUGGGCCGCGAGGAGUCAAGGUCUGAAGCCUGACGCAAGAAGCUUUUGUAAUGUUCAUGAAUUAUUAUAUGAAACAAAGCCUUGGGGCAAAGAACAGUACCAUAACAACUUUGGCUGCUAUAGCUUCGUUUCUCGGUCCGGGGCAAGCUGUCCCGUACCAACCUUUCGGAAGAGAUGGCCCGGGGAUUGGAUGACAGAAUGGUUUUAUGUGAAGAAUGACUUAUCAGCACGAGAAGACAUCAAAGGUAUAAUUAUGCGUCCUAUUUGGCAAAGCUUCGGCCUUCGGAGGCCGAAGGUUGAAAUGAACGAAGCCGCCGAAGAGUGCCAAAGAGCCUUCGGCAUUGUCUGCUCUUUUAUAGGAACAAGGGACUUAGUACAAGAACAUAUCGCCUUCAGGGUGUGGCCGCUUGCUGAGAAAUGGGAAAUGCCACAAGAAACCAUAAAAGAGGCCGACGAAGGUGAGCUUGUGAGACUGAAGUACACGUUCAAAUUUGGAGAUAAAUUUAUUGAGCCAGAUGAUGAGUGGUUGAAAAGCAUUGACAAUUUAAGUGAUGAGCUACUCGGGACCUACUCGAAGGCUGAAGAUAAUGCAAUGUCAGCAGCCUUCGGAGGCCGAAAAAAGAAGAGACUGAAUCGGGUAUUUGAUGCCAUUGGGUUUGUCUACCCUGAUUACUGCUAUCCCAUUCGAAGGCAGAAGAGAAAAAACACAAUCUCUGCAAAAGAAGAAGCUGCAGCUGCUCCUAGCGAGCCAGAACCCAAAAGGAAAAAGAUAAAGGUUCUUACGCAACGGCCUCGUUAUAUUGAACCAGCUUCGGUGCCGGAGUUUACCGGGAAGACUUCUUCAGCCACCGAAGCUGAAAAACUAAUCGAGCCAGCCUUGUUGCCAGAGAUCGCAGAAACGGCCGAAGUGCCACCAAAGAUAGAAUCAGAACAAUCAAACAUUUUGUUGUCAGAAACAAAAGAGAAAACCGAAGCGCCGCUCACAGAAAAAAUUGAGGAGGUAAGAAAAGCAACUGAGGGCUCCAAAACAUCAGAAGUUUUGAGUCCUACAGCAAUCAUUGGGACAGCAAAAAACCAAAAGGGGCCAUCAGUGACCCCAAAAAGGAAAAGAAUGGUAAAUGUACUAGACGUCUUGGAGACAAUUAAGUCUUCAAGCACAACUCCAAAAAAGAGUGUUGAAGUUGCUGAAGCUUCUACUGAAGCUUCGGCUCAACAAGCUGAAGCUGAAGCUGGGCCUUCAGAGCCCUUCAAAGAACAUCCUUUCGAAGCAGUAAAAAUUCCGGAACCAAUAUUAGUUGAAGAAACGGACACCGUCAUCCCCGAAGCACCUGCCGGCAUGCAUGAUUACAUCAUACGACAUGCUUCGGGGAAAAAGCUAUCUGAGGAAGAAACUCAUGAGGCCAACCAUUAUGCAAAGGAGCUGAAAUAUCCGAAGGGGGCAGUAAUAUUCAAUGGAACAAAUGAAGAUGACUUCUUAUACUGCCUGCCUGAUAACAAAGAGCUAUCCGUCUGCCGAGAGAUGGCGAGAAGCAUAGGCUUUCCGAAGCUUGAAGCUGGGUUAAGUGCCAUGACGAAAGAGGAUCUCGCAGACAGCCUCGCGUACAACAGCCUGAAGGUACGGGAAUUAAACACUUGAGAAAAAAAACCCCCUAUCUCUUUUUUUUACGCAACUCAUUCCUUUUUUCUUAUAUGAAUUCUUUUUUCAUAUAGGGCCUGAUCCUAAGCAACGCGUUAAGAGCGCAAAAAAGCGCCGAAGAUGAAAGUUAUGAAAUUGCGUUUAAUAAUUUACGCUCCGAAGUUAUCAAACUGAGAAACGAAGCUUUGGAAAAGGAUAAAAUUUUACUUACACUGGUAGAUAAAGUGAAAAAAGACGAAGCUGCUUCAAAGGCCCAGGCCGAAGCUCAAAAACGCGAGAUUAAAGAUCUUCAGAAACAGCUGGCUAGAGUUAAAGAGGAGCGCGCGCUUGAGGAAACGAAACGAGAACUUAGUGAUUUUAUGGUCAACAAAUUGGAAUCAAAAGUUAAGGAGCUUCGCACAUCUCAGGGGAAAUGCUAUGUCAAAUCUGUAGAAUGUGUGAAUAAAAUUAAAUCCAGCUUCGCCAGCGUAGGCGCCUUUUCCAGCGAAGAGAAUUUCUCUCGAGGCAAUCCCGAAGGUCCGCUGGAAUGGAUUAGCCACGAAGCAGAGGCCUUCGAAGAGAUUCUGAACAGUCGUGGCGACAUAUGUGCUUUUUCGGGCGCCAGAGGAAUUGCUUCCGUCUUAGAGAAGAAAGGUUGCGAACAUGUAAAAUUUUUAGCUCAAUCCGAAGCUACCUUAUCUACCGAAGACAUCAAGGACCCCUCGGCCGAAGCGAGCGUGGUUGGUGGCAAAUUUUUUACUGAUAUCUGGAACGACGGCGGCCGAGGAAUGGCGCGAGAGAUCAUUGAAAGAAGCGAAAAAGGCAUUCACGAUGCUAGAAGAGUAGCAGACGCUGCCGAAAGGAGUAGGGAGCCCGAAGGACAGUUAGGUACCAACUAGUCGUUCUUGUUGCGUUGUAAUUUUCAUUUUAAACUUUGCUCACGAUUUGUAAAAAUACUGAAGAAGUGUUCUCUUCGCUCAGAAACUGUUGGACGAUCUGCCGACCCCCACACAAAAGGGGAUGAAGAAAUUAAUCAAAUGGCCGAAACUAUCAUGGACAAGGUUGUUGACCAACUUCUGAAUGAAGCCGCCGAAGCAGUAUUGAGGGAAGAUUAGGUACUAUUUGGAAAAAACAUUUAAAGUGUAAUCUAUGCAACACUUUGUACAUUUGAAUGUAAUAUACAAGUCUCUUUUCAUUAUUGAAUUCUUUACGAUGCAUGAAACUUUAAAUACAUACCACUUUUGAGCCUUCGGCGAAAAAACACCUUCCCUUCUUUUCAUGCGUCGUGAAGAAGAUAGCCUUCGUCAAAAUUAUUCUGAUGAAUGACAUCGAUGCCUCGUGAAAACAUUUUCCGAAGCUAUUUUCCGAAGCUAUGCAACUUUGAUAUUGAUCUGAUAAAGUUCGCCCAUGUUUCGUAAAAAUAUUCCCCGAAACUGUAUUCCGAAGCUAUACAAUUUCAAUGUCACUUUUUCAAAGCAUCCCUUCGAAGGUUGAGAGUGUCCCCUUCUCUUGCCAAAUGCGAUAUGAUGUAUGAUGCUUAUGCUAUGCAAAAUGAUGUGAUGAUGUUAUGUUAUGCAUGUGACAUGUGUUCCGAAGAUACACAUAAAAUAUAUUCGUAAGCUCUGCAUUCCCUUAGGAACGUCUUUGGAGCUUCUUCGUCUUUUACUUAGACGGCAUCAGCGUUGACUUUUCGCUGUAAGCCUCCCUUAGGAGCUUCUUCGUCUUUUACUUAGACGGUAUCAGCGUUGACUUUUCGCUGUAAGCCUCCCUUAGGAGCUUCUUCGUCUUUUACUUAGACGGUAUCAGCGUUGAUUUUUCGCUGUAGGCUCUGCAUUCCUUUAGGAACGACUUCUGAGCAGAAAACUUACGCUGCGCUCCCUUUGGAACGACUUUUUGUGACUUUAUAAACUUACUCUGCGUUCCUUAGAACGACUUUUUGUUACUCCGAAGGAUUUUUAGUCCGAAGGUCCUUCUUGGUAACGGAAGAAAUUUUAGGCUUCGGCAACUUAGGCCUGUGAAUCAAAUAAAUUUUUCUCGUGGAAACAACGAAAUUAUUACAUGGAAACUAUCAAUGUUUUUUGCUUCACAGAAAACAAAACUGAAUAGAAAAGACUGCUAUCAAAGGUAGGAUAUGUCAAUAAAUGUGCUUCGACUCUGGCACAGUGCUGUUGACUGUGCGAGCUUCGGACUGUUCUCUGAAGUCCCUCUGCUGUGGAGCGUAUUGACUCCCUUCUGGCUGUUGACCUUGCUGCAAUGGAGGUGGAGGCGGAAGCUGCUGCCAGGAAGCUUGAGGUUGACUUGCCGAAGCUACAGAAGCCGCAGGGUGGUUGUCUAUGUAUUGUGGGACAUAAGGCGGAUGAAACGAAGCAGUAUGCAUAACCUGCUUCGACUGAGCUUGUUGAGAUGCAGCUUCGGCUAGUUCCUUUUGCUUCUGGAUUGUAACAUGGCACGUCCUAGUGGUGUGGCCCUUGCCCUCUCCACAGAAUAGGCAAAACAGUCUCCUUGGCUGAUCUCCGAAUCUUCCGCCGAAGCCCCUGGCGCCUCUGCCUCUUGGAGCUGGUGGCCGAAAGGAAGUUUGUUGUUGCCCCGAAGCCUGUGAGGAGCACUGCGGCCUGUUUUGCUGACUCCCCUUAUCAUCAUUCUGAGUGCUGUGAAUGGAACGGACAUGCCUCGGGUAGUAUCUCCCUCCGAAGCCCCUGGUCAUCUCAGAAAAUCUGAAGGCCUCCUCCCUUCUCUGGCGAAAGUCAUUGUCGGCACGAAUGUACUCAUCCAUCUUUUGGAGCAAUUUCUCCAAGGUCUGAGGAGGCUUCCGAGCAAAGUAUUGAGCUGCAGGUCCAGGACGAAGCCCCUUGAUCAUGGCUUCGAUAACGAUUUCAUUGGGCACCGUUGGUGCCUGCGCCCUCAAUCGUAAGAACCUUCGGACAUACGCCUGAAGGUAUUCUUCGUGAUCCUGAAUACACUGGAAGAGGGCUUGAGCUGUAACCGGCUUCGUUUGAAAUCCUUGAAAGCUGGUCAGUAACAUAUCCUUCAGCUUCUGCCAUGAAGUGAUUGUUCCUGGCCGAAGGGAGGAAUACCAGGUCUGAGCAACAUUCCUGACGGCCAUGACGAAAGACUUCGCCAUGACUGCAGCGUUGCCCCCGUACGAAGACACUGUUGCUUCGUAGCUCAUCAAGAAUUGCUUCGGGUCGGAGUGGCCGUCAAACAUGGGGAGCUGGGGUGGCUUAUAGGAUGGAGGCCAAGGAGUAGCCUGCAGCUCAGCAGACAGAGGAGAAGCAUCAUCAAAAACAAAAUUUCCCUGAUGGAAAUUAUCAUACCAGUCGUCUUCGUUGACGAAGCCCUCCUGAUGAAGGUCUUUCUGAUGAGGCCUUCUGUUCUGCUCAUCGUGAGUGAGAUGGCGAACUUCCUCAGAAGCUUCGUCAAUUUGCCUUUGCAACUCAGCUAGGCGGGCCAUCUUCUCCUUCUUCCUCUGCACUUGUUGAUGUAGCAUCUCCAUCUCUCUGAUUUCUUGGUCUAGCUCUUCUUCCUCAAGCGUCGGGCUAACAGCUUUUCUCUUCUGGCUUCUGGCCUCCCGAAGAGAGACGGUCUCCUGGUUGUGGUCCAGCGGUUGUAAUGCUGCAGCCCCAGCCGCUGAAGCUUUCUUCGGCGCCAUAGCGAAGGUCUAUAGCUUCCGAAGGUGUUCACGAAGACUCGAAGUGGAAGUGAGUUCACCGGAGGUGGGCGCCAAUGUUGGGGACUUGUUCUUAAAUGCUAUGAGUUAAGAACAAGGCAACACAGAAAAUGUUAAACAUUAAGAUCCUUCGUCCUUCGAAGCAUUAUUUCCCUUAGGAUAUAACGAUCCCCGGACGAAGGUCAUGAAGGAUUAACCUUCAUCACUAUAAUAUACAUUAGUAAAAGACGAAGCAUAUGAAACAUAAAAGAUAGCGUGAAUAACCGUAUAACAUUAUUUAUUUAACUUUAUUAACUCAUCAUAAAGGAAUAGAAACAAUAUUGAAUUAUAAAUGUACCUUCGGCUUGGAGGGAAAUGAAAAUACAAGUGUGACGCAAAAGCAAAUGCCAAGUCCGCGUGAACAGUACGGGGGUACUGUUCACCUAUUUAUAGGCACGGGGUACAACCCAUACAAAAUUACAUACAUGCCCUUUACAUUUGGUGAUAAUUCUAUAGCAUUCUAUCGAGGUCUAAAUGGCCUUUUCAUCUUUAAGUCGGUUCCCCUUUCUGCCAACAUGCCGAAGCUUUCCUGCUUCACAGCUUCGGCACUGUGUCAACCUUCGUAUCUUUUGAGCUUCUCCCUUUCCGAUUCAAGUCCGAAGAUACCUGUUCACACAUUAUACUCCAGAAACAUUGUUAAAUCAUGUUUUUGAGGACCUUCGGAAGCCGAAGGCCCCCAACAGCAUUCCACUAAAGACAAUGGGCUUUUGUAAAAAAAUUGGCUAGUGCAGGACCAGUGAUUGAACUAGGGUAGAAAGAACUCUAGUGCAGGUAAUUUUUACUUAACUUGACAAAUUAAAACUGGAUUUUUAAGGAUCCACUUUAGUAAGCAUUUCUGCAAAACAGAGUCUUUGAAUAUUGAAAAGCCUUACCUUGACUCCCACAUAACCAGCAUACCCUUGAGAGUCUUUUCUUUAGUCAGGUAAGACUUGCUGAGUAUUCCAUACUCAGGGUUUAUCCCUUCGUUGUUUUUAGGUGAGGAAGUAGCAGACUUUUGCUACUUCUGUGCCAAGGUGGUUCCAAAAGAAGAAAAUCAAGACUGAAGUGCGGGAGGAUUCGAUCCUCCACUUAAGAUCUUUUGCUUUUAGCUUCUCGGGAGGAGUUUGUGCCUCCCUGGUUUGUAUAAUAUUACUUCUAUGCACUCACUUUUAGACUGGUCUGUAAUAACCUAACUCAAGCUUGCUUUUGAAAUAAAUGUAAGAUUAUGUAAUUCGCUUCCGCAUUUCUUCAUCUCCGAUGUUCUGUAAUGUCUACAAGAUGGGUGAGACGUUCCUGGUGAGGUAAGGAAAGAUACCGAACUUGUCAAGUAGUUCAGGGGCACCUACAGGGUUGUCUGAUGUCCGUUGGACAAGGACAACUGUAGGUGGGCCUAAUUACUUGGGAGGUUCCGUCACAGCUGGUAUCGGAGCGUAGCCCUUCUUGGCAGAUAUUAUGAGGCAUCUUCAAAAGAAUUUUCGAAAGUCUUACCUAGAAAUUCUUUUCUCUUCUUACCUAAGUAUUCUGAAGAAGUUUAUCUUAAAGACCAGAUAGGAAGAGUGCAACAUAUAGAAGGUUGAAUCGACUAAGGUUGAUUCUGUAAUUAUACAUGCAUCAUGCUAAGAAUCAUACUAAUAACAUUUUCCCCCUUAGAAAAGAUGCCGCCACGUACCAGGCUAACGGCACGCAAGUCUACGGGACCAAUUGGGGUGCCUCGGCAUCAAUUGGCUCCCCGACAUGAAAGCAGCAGUAGUGGGAGUAACGACCCCAUCGGAGACCUUGAAGCUCGUGUGAGUCGACUUCAGGCAGCACUGCAACAAAGGACUGAUGCUUGGGUCGCUGACGGUGAUAGAAUCAACGAACUGAGAAGGGACAUCCGACACUUGCAGGAUCAACUCGCUGAUCGAGACUUAGCACUUGACUGGGCCGUACAGUCUCGUUUGCUAAUGUGUGCUAAGGAAGCAAGGGCUCAGGCCCGAGUUAAAGAACUUAGCUCGACUGUUGAUGACCUGCAGGUUUACUGCAAUACGUUGCACGAGGAAGUCCAUAUACUAUACUCACAACUACACCCAAGCGAGCCUACACAACCUGCUGAGGCAGAAGCUGGACCAUCUCACGUUGCGGGACGUGCGCUGGGUGGGGAGUUAGACCUGUUUGAGCCUCCUCCUUCCUUGAGGUUGGUUGAUGUCUGGACUCCCACACCUGACGAUGAGGCCGCCAAGACUAAUGGCAAGCAGGAAUAAAGGUGUAAUAGAAGUAGAGUAGUGUAUGGUAGGGUAUUGAAGGGUGUACUGUUGUAUAAUGGGUAUUGUAUCCUGUUAAUAGGUUGAACUUUUGUAUAAUGGGUAUUGUAUCCUGUUAUGUAAUAUCGAGUCUGUAUCAUUACUUUUUAUAGUAAUGUAAAAUGGAAGGUUUUCUCUGGCACAUUAUGUUUACUUCAAAUGUUUUUGCCACAGAUGCCGACCAAGACUCGAGGACAGGAUGCAGCAUGAACUUCUGGGGGACGGGAUGCUACCCCAAACCCACCUCCAGUUCCUCCCACGUUAGCCGAGGCGAUCACCGCCUUGGUGAAUGCCACCGCCGAAAAUACCCGCUUCCUUAGGGAAAUGGCGGGUCAGCAACAAUUCCAGCAGCAGGCGGGAAGAGGUUAUCCGCAGGGUCCCCGUGAGACCACUUAUCUGGAUUUCUCGGAAACUCGUCCACCUCUAUUCGUCAAAGCAGAAGAUCCCUUAGAAGCUGACGAGUGGAUUCGGGUUAUCGAGCAAAAGUUUGGUCUUCUCCGAUGCUCAGAGACGCAGAAGCCGUUGUUUGCUGCACAACAACUCCGUGGUCCUGCCAGUACCUGGUGGGGAAAUUUUAUGGCUAUUCAACCUGAUAAUCAUCAAGUCACCUGGAAUGAGUUUAAAGCAGCUUUCCGUGAACAUUACAUCCCUGAGGGAGUGCUGCAUAUGAAACAAGAGGAGUUUAUGAAGUUACGACAAGGUGGAGAUACCAUUACUCAAUAUCUCAACAAAUUCAAUCACCUGUCGCAAUAUGCUAUUGACCAGGUGAAUACGGAUUUGAAGAAGAAGAACUGUUUUAUGCGGGGACUGAAUGAUCGGCUACAAAGGAAAAUGGCCACAUGCAUAGACCUCACGUAUGGAAAGGCUGUCAGCACAGCCUUAUCUGUUGAAGCCAAAUACACAAAUUCUGGAAUGAAUAAGGGAUUUGGUGGUGAGCGGCCUAAUCAGGGCCAGGCAAAGAAACCACGGUUUGUGAUUCGACCCUCAAACCAGAAUCGCCCUUUUUCUCGUCCACCUUCAUUUCCCUUCAAACAGCCUAUUAUUAUCCGCCCCAACAAUGCCCCCACUACCCCAAAACAGCCGGGUGCCCCAGGCACUCGAUUUCCUGCCUUGCCUAGUUCUUCAACUGGGUGCUUUAAUUGCGGCAAGUCGGGACACUUCAUCAAGGACUGCCCAUAUCCUAGGCAAAAUCAAUCUAAUGCUUCGCAAGGAUCUGGGAAAUCACUUCAGCCCAAAGGAAAUGCUGUGGGGAAGAAUACAAAGAAAACGGGGCGUGUAUACUACACUCAAGUGGCUACUACACCGGAAGGAGAACCGGUGAUGAUGGGUACGUUUCCCGUAGCCAGUCACCCAGCAAUUAUUCUUUUUGAUUCUGGUGCUUCACAUACAUUUAUUAGCAAGAAGUUUGUGGAACAACAUCAUAUUGCAUACCAUGAAUCAAAGGAGGGAUUUAAAAUUCAUUCACCUGGGGGACACAUUUAUACUAAAGAAGUGGCCUAUGGAGUGCCAGUAACAAUGGCCGGACGGAACUUUCCUGCUAACAUGAUUGUUCUAAAGGGCCAGGAUAUAGAUGUAAUUUUGGGAAUGAAUUGGUUAACCCCACACAAAGCAAUUCUCAAUACUGAACUCAGAACCGUCAGGUUGAGCUAUAACCAAGAAGAGAUUCUCUUGACUCUCCCCGCAACCAAUCCGGCCAACACUUCUGGUAGAGUCUAUGAAGCCAUUGUACCGGAGAUCGAGAAUAUUCCGGUAGUAUGUGAGUUUCCAGAUGUAUUUCCGGAAGAUUUGCCUGGACUGCCCCCUGAAAGAGAUGUAGAAUUCGUAAUUGAGCUAAAGCCCGGUACGGCUCCCAUCUCCCGAAGAUCGUACCGUAUGCCCCCAAAUGAAUUGGCGGAACUGAAGACUCAAUUGCAAGAUCUACUGAAUAAAGGAUUCAUCCGGCCAAGCUCGUCCCCUUGGGGUUGUCCCGCCAUUUUUGUUAAGAAGAAGGAUCAAACCUUGAGAAUGUGCGUGGAUUAUCGACCCCUAAAUGAGGUCACCAUCAAGAAUAAGUACCCCCUUCCCAGGAUCGACAUCUUAUUUGAUCAACUGACUGGGGCGAGGGUAUUUUCCAAGAUUGAUCUCAGGUCGGGCUAUCAUCAAAUCCGUAUUCGGCCCGAGGAUAUACCGAAGACCGCGUUUACUACGCGAUAUGGAUUGUUUGAAUACCUGGUAAUGUCGUUCGGGCUCACAAAUGCUCCUGCCCAUUUCACUUAUCUGAUGAACUCGGUAUUCAUGCCCGAAUUGGACAAAUUCGUGGUAGUCUUCAUUGAUGAUAUCUUGAUAUAUUCCAAGAAUGAAGAAGACCAUGCUCAGCAUUUACGGAUUGUAUUGACGCGCCUAAGGGAACACCAGCUAUAUGCCAAGUUCAGGAUGUGCGCGUUCUGGCUGGAAGAAAUUCAAUUUUUGGGGCACGUAUUAUUAGCUAAAGGAAUUGCGGUAGAUCCUAGUAAGGUCAAAGAUAUUCUGGAGUGGAAACCCCCAACAACUGUUCACCAAGUCCGGAGUUUUCUUGGACUAGCUGGGUAUUAUCGCAGAUUCAUACCAGAUUUUUCUAAGCUUGUGAAGCCAAUCACAAGUUUGUUGAAGAAUGACAUUAAGUUCAAUUGGUCCUCUAAGUGCAAUGAAGCCUUUGAGCAACUAAAGACACUAUUGACCACUGCUCCGGUAUUAGCUCAACCGGACAUCACUAAACCUUUUGACGUAUAUUGUGAUGCAUCUGGCAGUGGGCUCGGCUGUGUACUGAUGCAAGAGGGCCGAGUGAUUGCGUAUGCUUCAAGGCAGUUGCGCCGGCAUGAGGAGCACUAUCCAACUCAUGAUCUGGAGCUAGCUGCUGUGGUUCAUGCCCUAAAGAUUUGGCGUCACUAUCUGCUGGGUAAUAUCUGUCACAUAUAUACAGAUCAUAAAAGUUUGAAGUACAUCUUCACCCAGUCAGAGUUGAAUAUGAGACAAAGACGAUGGCUUGAGCUCAUUAAAGACUAUGAACUGGAGAUCCAUUAUCACCCAGGCAAGGCCAAUGUGGUGGCAGAUGCGUUGAGUCGUAAGACUUCCUGCCACUGUCUUAUGGCGAAGACUUCCGAGAACACUUUGUGUCAGGAAAUGGAAAAGCUAAACCUGGGGAUCAUCCAACAAGGGACUCUAAAUCAGUUAAGGCUUGAGUCAAUCAUUUUGCAAAGAAUAGUUGAUGCUCAAAGGGAUAAUCUGGGUAUGAAGCACAUACGAGAAAAGAUAAGGGCUGGAACAGCCAAGUGUUUCAAAGAAGACGAUCAAGGUGUGAUAUGGUUUAAAAACCGCAUAGUUGUGCCAAAGAACGAAGAGCUCCGCCAGCAAAUUCUGGAUGAAGCACAUCUUAGUCGCUAUUCUAUUCAUCCCGGAAGCACUAAGAUGUACCAAGAUUUAAAGCAACAUUACUGGUGGACAAAAAUGAAGAUUGAGAUUGCACGCUAUGUGGCGAAGUGUGACACUUGCAGACGUGUCAAGGCCAUACACAUGAAAACUGCUGGUCCAUUACAAUCUUUGCCAAUCCCAACAUGGAAAUGGGAAGACAUCAGCAUGGACUUCAUUGUGGGAUUGCCCAGAACCGCAAAAGGCUUUGACUCCAUCUGGGUUAUCAUCGAUCGACUUACAAAGAUCGCCCACUUUCUCCCGGUCAAAGUUAAAUAUCCCGUCAUUACCUAUGCGGAGUUAUACAUUGCCCGUAUUCUCAGUUUGCAUGGUGUUCCAAAGACCAUAGUGUCGGAUCGUGGACCUCAAUUCGUAUCCAAGUUUUGGGAAGAACUUCAUAAAUCCCUGGGUACCAAAUUACUCCACAGUUCGGCCUAUCAUCCUCAAACCAGUGGACAGACUGAGAGAGUGAACCAAAUACUUGAAGAUAUGCUGCGGGCAUGUGUCCUGGACUUUUCACCAAAAUGGGAUGAAUGUUUACCCCUAGCGGAGUUUUCAUACAAUAACAAUUAUCAAGAAAGUAUCAAGAUGGCACCUUUUGAAGCUUUAUAUGGACGUCGGUGUCGGACUCCGCUAAAUUGGUCUAAACCUGGAGAAAGAUACUUCUUUAGACCUGAUAUGGUGAAAGAGGUUGAAGAAAAGGUUCAGAGAAUUAUCCACAAUAUGAAGAAAGCUCAAGCACGGCAAAAGAGUUAUGCAGACAAACGGCGAAUGCCCUUAUAUUUUCUUGAAGGGGACUAUGUCUACCUGAAGGUAUCACCUAUGAAGGGCGUAUCGCGUUUCGGAGUUAAAGGAAAACUUGCACCACGAUAUAUUGGUCCUUUUCUUAUUCUGGAAAGAUAUGGGCCAGUGGCGUAUCGACUCCAACUCCCCGAAACCUUGUCUGCUGUGCACAAUGUGUUCCACGUGUCACAACUGAAGAAGUGUCUUCGGGUUCCUGAUCGAACCGUUGAAGUGACUGAUGUUGUCCUGGAACCAGAUUUAACCUACUCGGAACAUCCUAUUCGAGUUCUGGAUCAAAAGGACAGGGUCACCCGAAGAAAGACUCUCAAGUUCUACAAGAUACAGUGGAACCGGCAUUCGGAAGAUGAGGCUACAUGGGAAACCCAAGACUUUUAAAUAAGAAUUUCCCAGGCUUCCUAGCCUCAUGUAAAUUGUAAAGUCUGUAUAGCGGUUGUAAUGAAGAAGUAACCCCCACAUCACCCCUGCCUUGUACCAAAAUUAAAGAAAUAAAAAUGUGAUGUGUUUCCUUUACCAUUCCCUACCCUAGGAUUUUUAAUCUCGGGACGAGAUUCUUUUAUGGGGGGAAGGAUGUAACACCCCUGGUGUUACUAUAACUAAAACUUGAGCAUGACAUCAUAAGCAUUGACAUUGCAUAUGUGUGACACACCUAGAGUGCAUUCACUAGGCAAAAAUUUCAAACAAGUUGUAUUGUUUUACUGUUUUUGCAAAUGGAACCCUGGUUAAUGGACUUAACCCUAAAUAGUGGUUAAAGGGGUAAAACUUAACCCAAGUUAAGAAAACCUAAAUACUUUAGGGUAAAAGUCAUAAAAUGACCCUAAGAAUAAGCUUGAAUCACUUUUAUACCCCUGAGAUACCAGAAACCCUAAUUGGAACCCUGGAAAACCCUAAAACCAAACCCUAGGGGCUUAUGUGCAAAAAUGAUGAACCUUGGGACUAAAAUGUAAAAACUACUAUGUUUGGACAUAUAAAGUCAUUUGGUUCACAAAUAUGUGAAUUUACAAGCCAAACCCUGAGAUUUGGACUUAAGUGCAAAAUGGACCUCAUUUGAGCUCUAUACCAAGUCUGAAAUUUAGUGUUAAAGGCUCCACUUUGGGGCUUUGCAACUUUCAAAGCAUGGGGUUUUUGCCCUAGGUCACCACAUCAAGUUUGUAGCUCAAUCAUAGGAGAACAACUUUGUUUAAGGAAGUGAGCAAAGUUGUUAAGUGAAUAUGGGAGAUAAUUAAGCCUGAAGAUUGGCUGUCAGGCUGAUUCAGUCGGAAGUUCAGAAGUUCAGUGCAACAGAGCUAACUUUGGACUUGAAUUAAACCUUGAUCCAGUGCUUAAAUAGGUUUAAUCCCUAUAGUUGAUUUGUAGCUGGUAAGUAGCAUUACAACUUUGAUGCAGAGCUUGGGUUAAGUUACCAUUCAAAAUUGAGAGAGAAAGUGGCUCCAAUGUGCUCUGUCAGGCGACUGAAUCAGGUUUUCACCAUGGUACAGUAGUUCCAAACUGAAGAAGAUCGCAGGUUCACUCCCCCUGCUCGCCGCCGGUGUCCAUCACCGUUGAUCCCUGCUCGUCGUGAUUCGUGCGUCGUGGUCAUCGGUUAUGCACAGCUCGGUAAAGAUCCUUACCGCCGGUGAGCUGGCCACCACUCCGACGACCCCCUCUCCUGUCUUCCUUUCUGCUUUGCGGCUGGCACGAUAAGUUCGCCGUCGACCGCCGCUUCCCGACCGUGCGCCGCGUGGCCUAGCCGUUUUACAGCGUCGCCAUGACUCCCUCUACCCGUCCCAUCGUCGCCGGAGAGCUUGCCACGGCAGUAGCCACGUAUUCACCGCGCCAGGCUUCUUCCUCCCCUCCGGCCGCCGCGUUGCUCGUCCAAAAUUUGCGGCCACCGAUCACUCCGCCUAUAAAUUGAAGCCCCCACUAGCUUCGCAACAUCAUCACCCACCUAGCCACCGAGAAUCGCUAGCAAUCGUGCACCAGUGCGCUUGGAUUUCGGUUUUCCCCCAAAUCAAGUUUCCGCCACCCGAAAUCAACCUCACCGCGGCCAGCCUAACUCAGGUUAGUGCAAGGCUCUCUGUUACUUGUUCUAGCAUUCUUGGAUCCUCCUUAAGCUCACCGGCCCACCCAAUUGAAUUAUACCGCCACCAAUCCUUGGGAACACGAUCAACUGUCCGCCACCCAUUCGGUUCACGCGGACAGAGCUUGGUAGCUCACCAUUUGCGCAAUUGAGUGAGGGGAAAUGCUCGGGCAGGCCCCGAUUUGGUGUCCACCGCUCGGGAGCGCCGGUCACUGCCCCUAUCGGCCGGUCUACGCGCUCGCCGGAGCUUCUCCGUGCGCUGCCGUCGUCGGGGACCUAGCCGUGCGAAGAGAUAGAAGUUGGAGGACCCCUGUGCAAAGCGUCAGUGACUUGCGAAAACAGUGAAUGAACCUGUUCUUAGUUAGUAAAAACGUCGGGGUCUUUUCUGUAAAGACACCAGCGCGGAGCGCGCGGGCGCGCUUUCCUCCCUGGUCUUGGGCCGCUGGGCUGAAUCCGGCCCAGUUCCCCUUAAUCUUUUUCUUUUUCUUUUUCCAGCAGAGCUUUAAAAUAUGUAGAAAAAUGUAGAAAAAUGCUAAAAUUAUGAAACUAAUUUUCCUAGGUUUGUUAUUUUCCAUAGUAUUUAAUAAAAAUAAGUUGGUGAUUUUUAGUGAAAGUAAGAAAUUUUAGGGUAUUUAAAGUAGUUAAAAGUCUUGGUUAUAGAUUUUUAGAAAAUAAUUGGUAAGUCCUAAAAUGCCCAAAAUUUUUAUAUGAGUGUUAUACAAUAUUUAGAAGCCUUGGGUAAAGUUUGAAUUGAUUUGGACCUUGUUUGAUCACCAAACCCCAAAACACCCCCCUGCCCUAUGAACUCCUUUACCGACUCCAGAAACCCUAAGUUCCCGGAACUCCGUGAAGGCAAGUUGUAUUCAAGACAUAAAUAAUAAGUUUAUGUUGUCUUUGCAUCCUCAUGAGCAUCCCAUGGCAUCCAUUCUUAUACAUACGUAUGGUUAUGAUUAGAACGAGAAGAAGAAAUAGAAGUAACUGAAGAGCAAGUACAACCACCUUUGGACACUCAGGCCGGGAAUAGUUUCUACUUCGACAUUUGUGGAUCCGAGCCUGAAUCACCUGUAAACGAAGGCAAGCCCCGGUGCAUUUGCCACCUCCCUUGAUGUUUUUAAAAUCUUUCUCACUUGCUUGCUGCAUUAAGUUAUAGGAGUUGAUUGUUAAACAAUUCCUGCAUUACCUUCCUUGAUUUUGAUUACCCCCCCUUGAAAUCCUGUUUUUACAAAAGGUUUUACUUUGCUUAGCAUUGCUUUAGAAAAACAAAGGAUUUGUUUUACAAAAGAUGUUUGGCAAAGUGGGAGGGGUGUUUUUGAAAAUAAAAUUUGAUGGUGGAUCCAUCAGGGCCUUGAUGGAUUCAACAUCUGGAAAAGAUGUACCUCUGCCAGGUACCAAACUUUGGGUUUGAAAUGAUUAAGCUGAGACCGGGCGGGUGACUUGCACGAGAAGAGAGUCUCGGUGUAGUGUCUCCGUCUGAGUCGAUUAAGGACCGUCUCGAUGUAGGCUUGAUGAUCGAGGACCCUUUAACUGGUCACAUGCCUCGUCAUGGGUAAGCCUUGCCUCGGGCAGACUAAGGCCGGAAUAAGAUAACACGAAAUGGGCGUGGAGCGGUGGCGAGAGUAGCGUGUACCCUCCGUGGCAAGAGGCUGGACGGUGGUGUAGUUGUGCUCUCGGUUUGCGUGAACCUGAUCCGGUCUUAAGAACCCCGGUGGUGGGUUGACAUAUGCAAGGGUUAAGUGCUACAUAUGUCGUGUGAUUGGAGAUCCUCAGCUGAGUAUAAUCGAUUCGGAUCGCCGUACCUUCGCGGUUAUGAAGACUUGGUCACUGCCCUACACGUAGCAUUCCACUAAAGACAAUGGGCUUUUGUAAAAAAAUUGGCUAGUGCAGGACCAGUGAUUGAACUAGGGUAGAAAGAACUCUAGUGCAGGUAAUUUUUACUUAACUUGACAAAUUAAAACUGGAUUUUUAAGGAUCCACUUUAGUAAGCAUUUCUGCAAAACAGAGUCUUUGAAUAUUGAAAAGCCUUACCUUGACUCCCACAUAACCAGCAUACCCUUGAGAGUCUUUUCUUUAGUCGGGUAAGACUUGCUGAGUAUUCCAUACUCAGGGUUUAUCCCUUCGUUGUUUUUAGGUGAGGAAGUAGCAGACUUUUGCUACUUCUAUGCCAAGGUGGUUCCAAAAGAAGAAAAUCAAGACUGAAGUGCGGGAGGAUUCGGUCCUCCACUUAAGAUCUUUUGCUUUUAGCUUCUCAGGAGGAGUUUGUGCCUCCCUGGUUUGUAUAAUAUUACUUCUAUGCACUCACUUUUAGACUGGUCUGUAAUAACCUAACUCAAGCUUGCUUUUGAAAUAAAUGUAAGAUUAUGUAAUUCGCUUCCGCAUUUCUUCAUCUCCGAUGUUCUGUAAUGUCUACAAGAUGGGUGAGACGUUCCUGGUGAGGUAAGGAAAGAUACCGAACUUGUCAAGUAGUUCAGGGGCACCUACAGGGUUGUCUGAUGUCCGUUGGACACGGACAACUGUAGGUGGGCCUAAUUACUUGGGAGGUUCCGUCACACGUGGGCGAGCGCGAAGGGGGGAGAGGCGAGGUGUCCGGAGACGGGCGUGAGAGAGGUGGAGAUCCCGCGGCCUUCGUGUUCGUCCCGCGCCCAGGUCGGGUGCGCUUGCAGUAGGGGGGUUACAAGCGUCCACGCGGGUGAGGGAAGCGAGCGGCCCCAAGAGAGCGCCUGUCCCGUCCUCGUCCCCGCGCGGCCAACCUUCUCUAAGAAGGCCCUGGUCCUUCCUUUUAUAGGCGUAAGGAGAGGAUCCAGGUGUACAAUGGGGGUGUAGCAGAGUGCUACGUGUCUAGCGGAGGGAGAGCUAGCGCCCUAAGUACAUGCCAAUGUGGCAGCCGGAGAGAUCUUGGCACCCUACUGGCGUGAUGUCGUGGCUGUCGGAGGAGCAACGGAGCCUGGCGGAGGGACAGCUGUCGGAGCGGUCGAGUCCUUGCUGACGUCCCCCUGCUUCCGUAAGAGAGCUGAGAGCCGCCGUCGUCAUAGAGCUUGUGGGGCGCCAUCAUUGCCCAUCUAGCAGAGCUAGCCAGAGGGGACACCGGUCUUGUUCUCCGUGACCCAAGUCGGCUCGGGGUAGGAUGAUGAUGGCGCUUCUCGUUGACGUGGCGGGCCCGUGCCCUAGGUCGGGCGAUGUGGGGGCUCCUCCGAAGCCGAGGUCGAGUCUGUCUUCCGUGGCCGAGGCCGAGCCCGAGCCCCUGGGUUGGGCGAGGCGGAGGUCGUUCGGCAGAGGCCAGGGCGGAGUCCGAGCCCUGGGGUCGGGCGAAGCGGAGUUCGUCGUCUUCCGGGCCUCAGCCCGAGUCCGAGCUCUGGGGUCGGGCGGAGCGGAGUUCGUCGUCUUCCGGGUCUUAGCCCGAGUCCGAGCCCUGGGGUCGGGCGGAGCGGAGUUCACCGUCUUCCGGGUCUUAGCCCGAGUCCGAGCCCUGGGGUCAGGCGGAGCGGAGUUCGCCGUCUUCCGGGUCUUAGCCCGAGUCCGAGCCCUGGGGUCGGGCGGAGCGGAGUUCGCCGUCUUCCGGGUCUUAGCCCGAGUCCGAGCCCUGGGGUCGGGCGGAGCGGAGUUCGCCGUCUUCCGGGUCUUAGCCCGAGUCCGAGCCCUAGGGUCGGGCGGAGCGGAGUUCGCCGUCUUCCGGGGCUGAGCCCGAGUCCGAGCCCUGGGUCGGGCGGAGCGGAGCUUCCUAUGGCGCCUUUGGCAAGGCCUGACUGGCUGUCAGACUCACUCUGUCGAGUGGCACUGCAGUCGGAGUGGCGCAGGCGGCGCUGUCCUUCUGUCAGACCGGUCAGUGGUGCGGCGGAGUGACGGCGGUCACUUCGGCACUGCCGGGGGGCGCGCGUCAGGAUAAAGGUGUCAGACCACCUUUGCGUUAAAUGCUCCUGCAACUCGGUCAGUCGGUGCGGCGAUUUAGUUAGGGUUGCUUCUUAGCGAAGCCAAGGCAUCGGGCGAGCCGGAGAUGCGUCCGCCGUUAAAAGGGGGGCCUCGGGCGAGACGGAAGUCCCUCGAGGUCGGCUGCCCUUGGCCGAGGCUAGGCUCGGGCGAAGCGUGAUCGAGUCACUCGUAUGGACUGAUCCCUGACUUAAUCGCACCCAUCAGGCCUCUGUAGCUUUAUGCUGAUGGGGGUUACCAGCUGAGAAUUAGGCGUCUUGAGGGUACCCCUAAUUAUGGUCCCCGACAGUAGCCCCCGAGCCUCGAAGGGAGUGUUAGCACUCGCUUGGAGGCUUUCGUCGCACUUUUUUGCAAGGGGACCAGCCUUUCUCGGUUGCAUUUUGUUCCGGUGGGUGCGCGCGAGCGCACCCGCCGGUGUAGCCCCUGAGGCCUCGGAGGAGUGGUUUCACUCCUUCGAGGUCUUAAUGCCUUGCGUAAUGCUUCGGCUGGUCUGGUUGUUCCCUCAUGCGAACUGGCCAUAGCCCGGGUGCACGGUCGGGGCCCAAGCUCUCGGGCUGGUAUGUUGACGCUGUCAACGGUCUGGCCGGAGCCGGGUUUGCGAGAGCAGCCCCGAGCCUCCGCACAGGGCGAGAGGACGAUCAGGGACAGACUCGGCUUUUUUACAUACGCCCCUGCGUCGCCUUUCCGCAAGGAGGAGGGGGGAGAGCGCCAUGUUACCCUCGAUGGGCACCGAACAUGGUGUCUCCGGUGAGCUGCAAGCGGGUGAUCCGAGUGGACGUCCGUGCCCCAUUCGUUGGGGGUCGGCUAGGGGCCCAGAGGCACGCCCAAAAGUACCUGCGGGUGAUCUGCCGGACCCGAUCCCCUGGCGACGGGGUCCGAGGGCUCGAUGCCUCCCUCCGAUGGGAUUCCGUUACAAGAUCGUUCCCGCUGGUCUCGGAAAUGUCCUAGGGUACCUCGGGAGCGCAGCCCGAGCCUCGGUUAUGUAUCGAACGUACCCCCGGUCAUCCCUCGCUCGGCGUCUGAGGCGACUGUGAACCCUUCGGGGGCCAGCCUUCGAACCCCUGAUCAGUAAUGGGCGCGGAGCCCGAGUAGCCUGAGGCGGCCAUGGAGCCCUUCGGGGGGCUGGCCUUCGAACCCCUGACCAGUAGUGGGUGUCGGGCCCACGCGAUCUGAGGCGACUGUUGAACCCUUCGGAGGGCCAGCCUUCGAACCUCUGAUCAGUAGGGGGGGG
rnacentral:lncRNA from 1 species